GGCAGGCACAUAACAAUCCAUGCUGAUCAUUCACUGAUGGACUUUAGAACUAAUAAUUAAACUAUCUAGAACAAAGCAACAUAUAAGGUACUCUAUCGCCUAUAUGGUAGAAGAAACAGUUUAACCAUGAAGGCAACUUUAUUGUAACUACCCACUGAAAUUAAGAAACAGAAAAUUUCAACAAUUUUUGGAGGUGGUAAAACUAUGCUUAUCAAGGUAUAUGACAUAAAAAGCAGGAAAAGAAUAAUGUCUUUUCGUGGACAACCAGACUAGCAAACAACUGAAAACGUUCAUUUACAGAAGCAGAGAUACCUGGUCGCAGCAUACGAGUUUCGUUAUCAGAGGAUAGAACUCUCUAAGAUUAUUUCUGAAUAUCUUGCUGUUCAUAGAGCACAUACCAUUAAGCACCUGGAAGACAAAGAACCACUUGUUUACUGAAAGAGUAACAUACAGCUUUCCUCACCUUUGAACCAAUUAUAUCGCAUUUAAAUACACUGAAGUACAACAACAACAACAGCAGAAAAGAAUGUAAACUACAUAUAUCAGGCACAAAAUUAUGCUGAUAUAUACAAGAAAGCCAAAAAAGGGAAAAAAAAGGAAAAAAGAAAAAAAGGGAAAAGAAAAGCCAAAAUUCACUGUCUACUUGCCGCCAACAGAUGCAGAAAUAUAGAAGUUUUCUUCAAGCUACGUCAGUAUUCCUGUCUUUCGUCUCUUUUGGAGGCAUCACUUGAGCCAUUAGAAGAUAAAUAAACUUCGCAAUAUUUUCCUUCCAAUCAAGGAAUAAAAAGUAUUUAAAAGACAAGAACGAGGGAAAUCAGCAGUGCCAACACCAUCAGAAUCUCACAUGAUGCCUAGACAACUAAGAGCAAUUCAAAUAUACAUGGUACCAGAUACUUUAAAUUAUAUCAAGUCCACAUCUUAAGUAACAUGCAAUUUUCUAAAACUUAUCAAGCACCAUGCCCAGCAAUCUUCAGUCAAUCAAGGGUUAUAUUACAAGAACCUUCUAUUGUGAAGGAAAAAAAUUACAAACUAAUAGAGGUAAUUGCGAUCCAUAAGCCCUCUAUGCAUUUUUCUGGGAACACUUAAAAAGUCCCCAGUGAUACUGGAAGUGAAAAAAUCUUUUCUUAGGUCCUCAAUUGUCAGUUUAUGGGCAGGGACCAACUCAAGUUACUGAAUGCAAUUAAUUCAAACAUGGUCGUCCGUUAGGAAAGUUGUCAAAGUCCAGUUACCAUAGCUCAAUCUUUCUUUGACCCUAGCUGCUUAGAUCUCCCUUACAUGCUAUCUUUUCUGCUUCCUUUCUUUUCUUAUCCUCUUUAUAUAGCUAAAGGGAUUUCCUAGUCACCAUCGCAAAGAAAGAAACAACAAUGUGAAAAUCCAAAAAAUCUAAGAAAAAAACAAGAGGAGGUAAAGACAAGAAAAACCUGUUUGGUCAAGUAGAAAAAAGUUAUGGAAAACACAUGCCAUCCAUCUCUCUGUUAUCAUAUAGCAUUUCAGGGUAGCGGUGUAGAUUUCAAAAUAUACCAUCUAAUAGGCCAAGGAAGGUUUUGAGUUUAUUUUGCUAUUUGAGAUGCACAGGCAGCAAAACAGAUGCAAAAAUGCCCGGGGCACAAUACCUCAUGAACUACUAUGUAUUUUCAGGGGCCAAAUAAUGUGCUUUGAGAAUUUUAAGAAGUCAGCUUCGACAUUGUGCACCUGCAAUCACUUGUGCAUACGACACUCUUGUUUCUUCACAAACUAUAUCACACACAACUAUUCUCACCAAGUCCAAGCGACUUUAAAGAGAAGAAAAGGACAUUAUAUACCAGCUUAACCGCUGAGAUAGGAUCCAAGAAAAACUAAGUUAAAGAAGAAUAUUCCAAACCUUAACAACAAUGGGAGAACGUAGUUCUAGAACUCGGUGAAUAUCCAUGUUAGCAGUCUCCCCCAUGGUGGACUGGAAAUCAGAUGCCUCCAUAAGCACCUGUCGACAAAAAGAGACUAGCUUUUCUUCCGCUAUUCCUUGAAGUUUUUCAUCUUUAAUUUGUUCUGUUGUAGUGGCACCAGUUGUCACUAAAUGAUUAUCACCAUUCUCAUUAAUACUUUUUUUGUGUGCUUCCUCUAUAUUGCCAUUAACUUCUGCAGUUGUCUUUUGUAAAAUAUCCAAGUAUACACAAGUUCCAGCUAACUCCUGUCGAAGAAGAUUCAUAGGUGGCCUGUACAAAAUAAACCAGAAAUCAUAUCUACAAGCUCCAAGUUGAAGACAAAAAAAUGUAUAGCUAGACCUCCAGCCAACCUUUCAGCAGGAAUCUGCUGCAUCCGCAAUCUGAGGUUUGUGUAUGAAUUAUACGAUGCAGCAAACUCUAACAGAGAGAACAAAAUGUCCAUGAUACUAAUUUUCUGUGAAGUCGUUAAAUUGUUCCAGUACUUCGUCUGCAGGUUUGGAACGCAGCAACAGAAAAGCAGUUAUUUUCUUGUCUCUACCAUAAGUACCAAAAAAUGUUAAAAAAAAUGAAAAACCAUCUAUUUCUAGAUGUAAUCCCUUCCCACAUUGAUGCCUCAGUAGUCUCUGUCAUUAAGCACGUUUCAGGAAUUCUUUGAGAUUUGCAUGCCUAACAUUUGUCUCAACAAAAUGCUAGCAGAAAAAACAUAGGACUUCCAAAAAAUUGGCUGUAUAAAAAUUUAAGCAAAAUUCAUGAUGAAUUCAGUUAUAAGAAUAUAAGACACCAUUCUUUACAAAGUACCAAAUGAUGGUUUACUAGGGAGUAAAUGUUGAAACUCUAGAUAAUCUUCAAAAUCUGAAAAACACUCAAAUCAUACCUGAAUGCUGUCAAUAGCACCUAAAAGUAGCAAUUGUGUGAUGCAUUUACUCCUAAUGGUUCCAAGAAGUGAACUUUCCUCCUCAUUCUUUGCAUCAGGCUCCACAAUGUCAGACAACUAGACAUAAAAACCAUAAAAUAGCCAAGUAAGUCGAGAGGAGAUUCUAAGGACACUUCAGUUAGACAAGCACAAUGAGCAUUCAAUAUACUCUGUAAAAACCAUUGAUACAUUAAGAAUCUAUAAAUAGCGAUCUCAAAAAGCUGGAAAAAAACAUUUCUAAUACAGUUCAAAACACUAAAAGCACGUUAUAGUAGGUUUUCAAGCAGAUCUCGCAAGCAUUAUGCAUAUGUCUCAAGGACCAAGAAAAUGUUAUUUGUUCUCUUAUCACAACUUUCAUGGGCUUCUUUAAGUAUGUAAUCCUCAUAUGACGUGUAUUCUUUCGUCUCCUUGACAUUCAUAAAUAUUUCUUUUAUCUUCAUACAUGGAUGAUGAAUAACCCUGGGUGCUUUCUUUAGCUUUUGAUCUCAAUGGAGAAAAUUAGGAAAAGCAUAUCUACUAAAAUAGGAUUUCCCCAUCGACCUUUGCAGUUGACAGGAUUAAAUUAGAGUUUAGAUAUCCCAACUGACCAACAUAAAAGUACCAAUAGCUUGUGCACCACAGAUAGACUGUUACAGAGAAUCAAGGAGAAAAAACAACAGAACCAGCACAAGAACAUUGGCUGAGGAAAAUCUCCAGCACUAAAUACCUUGGAAGGAGAAGAUGGAAUAAAAACAUCUGAUGAAGGGUUUCUUGAUUUAGAGGUGAAGCUUCUGAGAAAGAGACUAUCCCUCAUAUUUCCCAUAAAUUUUUGACCAAAUGUUUGACUGCGCUGAAGGCCACCAGCAUCAAUAGAUUUCUGAGCUCCUCCAGAAGGAGACGGCACACCUGCAGAUUCUGAGCUCUUCAAGAUAUUUUCCAUGGAUUGUUCUUUCAGAAGGUAAUGAAUACUUCCUAAAUUGCUAGUAAUUCAAUCUAUCUAUAUCGUUAAAUUAUACAUCAGAGCAACAACCACACCAACAGUACAUCAAAAUAUGAAAAAGAGAGAACCUUCAGAUCCCUCAUAAUCAUCUCCAGCAUUUGUAGACACCAUUGAAUAUGUAUUUCCACUAUCACUGCCAUUCUGCUGAUGAUUAUCUAAUGGUCCAUUAUUAGCAGAAGGCGUGGUAGGUGUAUCCCCUGAGAUGACUUCUAAAUUUCUUGUCAAUGCAGUAUGAUGUCUAGAGUUCUCCAAACCCAUGUCAUUGAGCAGCUCAAGGGGUUGAGUUGUGUAUAUAGCAUCUCUAUUAAAAAUCAAACAAAGCACUGAUACUCAAACUCAAUCUUUAUUAACAAGUUAUCGGACAUUUAACUUUUGGUAAAGAAUACUUACCUAAUGCUUUUCAACAAAGUAUCCCAAUCACGGUCACUAAAUUGGUGCCCACCAACUUCAAUGAGAUGCACUAAUGCACCCAGAGAUAAUGAAACAACUGACUGAUCAGUUUUCUUGGCACAAUCCAAAAGUAAGCUUAAGAGUGGGGGCAACAUAAAGCAAACCUCCUGCAUAGAAUGAGAAGAAAAAUUGUCACAACAUGAUAAAAUUCUCCAAAUGAACUAUGCAUAACAUGGUUCCAGGACAUUAUCAGAAGACCGUUACGAGUGGCAACCAAGAACAUCAUAUGAAUGGUAAUAUAGAUAAUAUAAGAGCAACCCUGUGACAUGCAAGUUCCUGUAAGGUCUCAUAAUUGCAAGUAUGUAGUAGUGAGGAGAUAAAAAUUGGUAUUCCUCCAACUGCACUAGGCCACUAUAUAGUUGCGUGAGGAAGGAAUACUGGAGUUCCUCCACGAGAUAUCCAAGGAAGUACACCAGUACCUUGUAGAAAGUGUUGAAGAGGUUGCACAGCAACUGGAGUGAAUGAAUACUACUUUCCCGAAACCAUUCAUCACCAGCAGAAACGGAGUUUUCUUUACCAGCUUGUCUGACAUGAUCAAAAAUGGGGAACAGGACCCGAUGGAAAAUAUUCUCCCAAAAUGAAGAUGUGAACUUGCUACCUCUCUCAUUCAGCAAAUCAAACAAAACUUCAAGUGCACAGUUUCUGACCUCUGGUCUGGGAUCAGAGGUCAGGUCAGAUAGACCGGCCAACAUUGGGAACCAAUAAUGCUCAGUCACAUCAUAAGUUGUCUCUGCAUUAAUGUCAAUAGGUUUCAAAGCACCACCUGGUAUUAGACCCUGAAAGUGAUCAACAAGAUAAAUAAUGUAAUUAGGAUCAGUAUGCCUUUUCUUGAACCAUUAUAGUGUACAAAUUUCAGUUAACAGAAGUGAUACUAGUUUCACAUCAAUCAAGAAUCAAUGACUAACGCUUAUUAUAGAGUUUGCCAAAUAAUUCAGAACCACCUCAAAGAAUAGUUUGACUAUGAUGUCAUGAAUAUCUUCCGGUCAGAUUAUGUACUCCAGCCUCGGAUGCGCAUAAAUAGAUGACAAAAACAUCAGAAAGAGAUUUUGUUUAAACUUAUUUUUGGUUUUGUUCAUAUUUUGCAAAUGGUGUUGUCUGUUAAUUCAUUAAUUCCCACAUACCCAGCAGAAUAAUGAAAUUCAGCAAGACUGAAUUUAGAAACUUAUCUUAGGAGUGCUUGUUUCCCAACAAUCCAACAUUUUGCCCCAUUUAAAGUAUCUUGCUACAUUCCCCUUUUUUCUUAAUGAUUCAAAGCAUAAAUCCCAUCAGUACCCCUUUAACUUAUGCAGGGAUCUGUUGAUAGCAAAAAACCCAUUAAAGUCUCAAAAUCAAUUAGGUAGGCAGAUAAAAUCUAGAUGAUUUGACUUAGUUUCUAAUCCGUAAACUUUUGUGCUAAAUUGGUUAGUAUUUUUCCUUCUGCAGAGACUAAAAUUACAUUCAUACACAAUUAAUUAAUUAUAACCAUCCACACAAUUCAUGCCGGAUGCCUCUAAAACUUCCCUCCACAACUCUAAUUUUGAAGUCAGUUUUGGAUUUAUUCUGUAAAUUACAGCGGUAUAGCUUGCAAUUAAAAGAAAAUGAACUGUGCAAACCAUAUUUGUUUCCUCACUUCUCGUUGACCCUGACUUUCCCUCAAUAUAUUAUGACACUAACUUGAUACUCAUUAACAAAUAUUUGAUCAAAGUCGUAUGAGCAUAACUUGUCAAGUCAAGGUAUUCAGCUGUUAUUCAGAGUAUUUUCCAGAACCCUAGGCACCAACUGCGUGCUGGUCGAUUCAAAAAUUUAUUAAACUUGUAGAUUCACAGUCUUUAUGUCCUUUUCCUCACAAUGCAUAUCCUUAAGAUGAACCUUAAAUGUUUACUAGAAUACAGAUAAAGCAAUGAAAUUAACAAAGGUAUUGUAGUCUACAAGCAAAUCAUGGUGAAAUUCAACAUUUCUACAAACCUCUGCAAGACGAUCCUCACAUAUGCGAAGAAGUGCAAUAGCUUUCAAACUUAUUCGGUGAGAAGUCUUAUUGUUAGCAAACCCAAUUAGGCAGUUGACACAAUCCAUAAAGCAGUCCCCCACAACCUGGUCAAAGUGUUCCAAAACAACUGCACAAGAUUUUUCACUGUUAGUAAUCAUAGAAAGAAACUAUCAAAAACUCAAAAAUCACAGAUACCACUAUUAAGGUUGAAACGAAUGAAAAAGAAAGUUCUAACCCUGUUCUACAUUCUCAAAUGCACUUUCAACAAUUAAUUCCAGAUCAUCAUCUGCUGCUGCUGUGAAAAUCAUGAACACACUUCGCCAGCCAGACUUUAUGCUUCCAACUUUAGAUUUUAUCAUCUGCUUUCCAGAACAGAAUCAGUUCAAUGCCAAGACAGGUAAGGAGACCAAAAACAACAUCAAGAAGAAAACAUACUUGCACAAUACAAUCAACAAUAAGCCUGCGUAUAGAGUCACUUCGGCUGUUUCGCAUGAGAAUUACAAAUGGUUUUAAGAUAUCAUUCUGGAAUGUGAAAUUGGCAAGUUCAGCACGCUCCAAAUAUUUCAUACCAAGUUGCCGUAGAGAAUCUAUAGCGUACAUAGCAACUCUUUCAUCAGGAUGGCUACCAGCAUAGAUAAAAUGACUGGCCAAGACAGACCAUAUUCUAGCCCAUACCUAACAGAGAUUGUAAUCCAUUAGCAACUGAAAAAGUGCUUUAAUGUGAGUCAAAGAUAGAAUGAUUGACACAGAAACAUUAUUAGUCAAGACAGACAGUAAAUCCUUUUAUAAUAAAAACACAAAUGUUGACAUUGAGCGUCAUAUUUCCAUCACUCAAGCAAUGAGUUGUUCCUGGAUAGAUGCAAAUCACAUCAAACUUCCAAGGCAAAUUUAGCCAUUUGAUAUCAGUGUGCAUGAAAAGACAUCAAGCAGAUAACAGACAAAGAAGUAAGCAAGUGAAGUUAUGCAAAUGAACCAUGCUUAUAUGAAAUUAAACAAAAAACAAGUUCCGAUAACCUACUUGCAGCCUCAAAAAGUGAUUAGAACACAUUGUUAUCAUAUGUAUCACAAAUGACAUUCAUCUCAAGCAUUAGGCUUCAAAGGAACAAGCUCCAUAUAACCCAAGUUACCUAGAGUUUACAUAUAGAAAAUUCCAUAGGAUUUUAAUCCAAAAAAAUGUUGAGCCUUGUUAAAAAAUUUUGAACACUUGGUGUAAACUAAAAGGUGUUGAAAGUGCUAGUCAUAUUUCAUUGAUUAACAUGCCUAAACACAUAACAUGUCUAAACACCUUACUUACAAGUGAAAGAUACCACCCUUGAAAACGAAAGUAAAAGCCAAAGCAUACUCAGUUACCAUGCGUAUACGAGCCAUAUUGUAAUAACUGAUCUCAACUAGCUUCUGCAAGCUAAAAACACGGGCAGGAAUCUGUCUCAAUUCCUCAGCUGAUACACUGCAUAGACCAGUAAAAAACUCCACAACAGAUUCACUGGGUAAUUUAACGCUAUUGACAAACACUUGUUCUGCAGGUUUUCCAACCAACUCUCUCAGAGAUUGCAAAAUAGCAUCCCUAGAAAUCUGGUUUGACCCUUGCAUGACAGUUGCAGCAGCUGUUGGGUUUGAUGUUAAAUAGUCAAGCCGAGAGAUGCACUCCAAUACUGCUAGCCAAGAUUCCUGAAGGGCAUUAGUGUCCGUAUCGCAUAGAGUAAUUAGAGUCCGCAAUGCUUCAACAUUUUUGCUUCUCAUUUCUUUUGGCGCAUGCAAGAAGUUAAAUCUGCAUAUUAGAAUAAUAACUAUCAAGAAAAAGAUAGAUGAGCAAAAUUUUAUUAAGAAAUUUUUGCCUAAUUGUCCCAAAUUUUGUUUAUCAUGCUACCCAGAUAAAAGGACCAAAGAACGAUAAUAACAAGGAUGUCAAAACAAAAUUCUCAACACCCUCAAAUCAACAAUAGUUCUUAGGCAAAACAUAAAAAGGAAAAUGAUGAUGCAGAGCCAAAACAAGACUGACAAAAAUGAAAAAUAGAAUUUACCUGAUCAAAGAUGUUAAAAAUGCAUAGCGCAUGGUAUCCAUUCCAAGAACAUGUGUGAUGUGUAUCCCAGCUUUAAAACCUUCCAUACAAAGAACAACCCUUGGUUUAUUAUCUCCUUCUUCCAUCGUAACAGCAAAUGUGGCAAGUAAUGGCCAUCCUACAGCUUCUACCAUAGGACGCACAAGUUCAAUCUGGUGUGAAGUAUAAAAUGCUCCUCUUUUUCUCCCUUGACUCCUAAAAAAGGCCUGUGUCUGCUUGACAAUGGCUUCACUUUCAGACUGUGAAUCACCUGAAGAUUUCCCCUUGGGAAGAGCCAGAUUAAGGAUACUGACAAUCCGCCCUCUCUCCUCUGCUUCUGGCUUUUGCUUGCUGCUUUUUGCGAUUCCAACAGGUUCAUCUUUCAUUUUUAUCUCUUCUUUAACAAUUGAAUCAUAGAUUUCCUCCAAGAGUUCUGUAGGAGCUGAUUCUUCAGCAUCAUGUAACGCAUUCAUACGUAAAAAGUCACUCUUCGACAUCUUUGGCCACACCAGUGAAUUAUGAGCAUCAGUAUUCAACAUUAUAACUGCAUAUGCAAGAACAUAAGCUGUAUCUGCAUUCUUAAACAGGCCAGGAUUGUCCGCACAAUAACUGUCAAAAGUCAAAAUUGAUCAAUCAUUGGCACUAUUAUUGCCAAAAAUGAAAAAAAAAAAAUCACAAGCAAUAAGGUCUUAUUAUCUGCUUAUAUUUUUCCAACUAAAUAGCAAAAUAUAUAUAUAUACUUAUUUAUUGCGCUGUAAAUUAAAGUUUGGGACAAUAAGAAUGUCCCUUUAACUCAAUGACUAAGCCUGUCAAUAAAGUUUGAAAAAAAGGUUCCAAUCACGCAUACUCUCUAUAUUCUAGGAUUUCCACCAUGCAAGGUCUCAUUAUAAUGUGUGUGUGCAUGUGUGUGUGUGUGUGAGAGAGAGAGAGAGAGGGAGAUAUCCAAGAUCCAAAUGCCGAAAUGCAAGAUAUUCAGGUGAAAAUGCUAUACUGGUCAUUAAAAAAGGGGAACAACCUAGUUUAAGUAUAAAAUGAAGCAAUUACUCAUAAAAAGCAAUAAAAACAUGAAAAUUCCUCACGCAAAUUACUGAGAAUCAAAGACACUACUAGGAUGGGUGGACACGAUGAAAGUGUGCAUACAUAUCAGACUCUAAUUUGACCAGGUAAGCUAAAACUUAAUUCUCUUCAUUUUGAGGAAGUUCAGCAUUUCUCAAAAAAGGUGGAGCAUGAACCUCAAGCGUAAUCAAAAAAUUCCAUUCUAUUGACCACUGAAUGCGUUUGUCAUUGUACAAGAAUAUCAUGGAUCUCUGCUCAAACAUAUUAACUCUGUUCAUUGAGCAUAAGCAAAAUAGAACAUUUUUUUAAAGCAAAACAGAACAUGCUUCAAGGCAAGUCUGUAAAUCAAAUGGCAUUUUCAUACAUACAGAAUUGUACAACACCCACAUGUCAGUCUACUUUGUGGGCACAUCUAUGAGAUGUGCAUGCCUUUUUUCCUUUUCAUACAUACAGAAUUGUACAAUACCCACAUGUCAGUCUACUUUGUGGGCACAUCUAUGAGAUGUGCAUGCCUCUUUUCCUUCUUUUUUUUACUUUCCUUGUUUGAAAACCGAAUGCUUAUGUAGUGACUUGGAUUUCCUCAACAGUUUCUAUCUGAUCUUCAAUUCUAUCCACUAUACUCCAGAGACAGUAUUUACAAAGCAAAGAAUUAUAUUAAAAUCCGAUUCGUCAACUGGACCUUCUGCCUUUCAUGAAAUAAAUACAGCAAGACAUGAUCAACCAAACCCACAAAUACAGAACAAGUGCACAUCGAGAGAGAACUUUUCAAUGUUUUCAGGAUUACUGCACUAUGAGGCUUUAAAAGAAAUAUCGUUUAGUAUUGUACGAGUCUUUUACUUGUAUGAGCUUAAAUUUUCUUUCUGCACUCAGGUCCAUAGUUUUGCUAUUUUCAAAAAUUUGGAUUACCACAAAAGCAUUUAAGCAGUAGGGUAGCAAGAAGGCAAUUACCGCUCCGCAAACUUUUCCAUUAUGCGAUCUAUCUUCUGAGCCUCUCCUGGAAGUCGGAAUCCUCGAAGAAAUUCACGAAUUGCUGCAUCAAACUUCAUCCCAGAGAAGUUCAUGGAAUCAACAUAAGCAUGCAUGACAGCAAGUGGAAACUCCUCAUGCUGACCUAUAUAAUCUCCAAUCUUAACCUAAACAAACAAGACAUUUGAGUCUCUGCAAACAGAAACUGAAUUGUAUGCUGGAAAGAUAAGAACCAAAAAGGAAAGAGAUAACAAUCACAAACAAUUAUCCGUUACCUUGUCCAAAUUGGCAGUGUUCCUAAGAAACUGAGCAACUGAUGCUGGCGUACUCUCCACUAAUCCACUUGAUAUUAGAAAUUCUAUACCCUUCUCUUGUUUCCGGUUGAACUGUAAUAUUACACCAAAACCGUCAUGGAACACAGCCCAAGUAUGCACCAAUCAUAAUAAAUAUUUGGUCAGAUCAAGAGGUGUAUACCUCAGCAACAGCAGCUUCCAGUGUAGAUUUGUGAGCCUUUAAUUUCUCAAAAUUACUAGCUUGAUCUUCCCGGCCUUUUGAGUCAUCAGAUUCCUUAGCUGAAUUCUCUACUUCAGAAGAUUCUUUCAGCUUUCCUGAUUCUCGCUGGGCCUUCUCCCAAUUAACCAAAGAUUUUAUAACAUUCACAAGACACUGAAAAAUACAUGAAACAGAUGUCAAACACACUUGUAACAGAAAUUCAACAGAAAAAGAAAUGAUUGUUUCAAAUUGUAACCAGAUGAACAUGCUAAACAAUAGUCCAAAGUUUAUACCUGAAGAGAUGAUGUUUUAAUUGAUCCCAUCUGGGAUGCAGUAAUGGAGUUUGGAUCCAUAUUUUGAGUUCCUUGGGCUAUUCUGGAUAACGUUGUAGCCUAUACCAGAAAGAGCAAAAGUGGAGAAUUUGUUAAAUGUGUACCAAGAAACUUAAUUUGGAAAGUUAGUCAAACCAAAUGUUGAACAAGAACCAACCAUCCGUUCAAAUAAAUUAGGUGCUUCAAGAUCACAAUCAUAAUUCACAAAGAGAUCAACCAACAUCUGAGAAUCCUUGCAGACUUUCUCUAGCAUCCUGAAAGAUCAAAUUCAUUCAAAGUCAUGAAACAUGAAGAAUUAACACAUAAAAUGCAAGCUCACCAAAGACGUGCAGGCAUCGAGUUUUGAUAUGUCAAACAGCUAAUUUUUUAGUCCGAUGAAUCGCAAUAUUUGGCAAAUAUACAAUGCAAUGGAGAAAAUAUGAGAGAAAGUUAGGACUAAAAAAAGUUAAGGAAAACUAUUAUAUCCAAAUAUCAGCACUAUCUUCUGAAAUACAUAUCAUACCGAAGAACACUUUGUUUUUGGUUCAGGUCUGAACCAUCCAAGGGUCUUAAGACGAUCAAUGGAAAGAAAACACCAAUUUCCCCCUGGAAAAUUAUGAUAGCAUUAGCAUCAGAGAAAAAGAUGAAAAAAAAAUACUUGCAAUUUUCAAGUGGGUGAGAUGGGUAUCUUGUCAUUUUCAUACUUUGAGACUUUCCCUGAACCGCGACAAGAGCACUGAGAAAAUCCCUGUUGCAUACUAUACAAAAAAUAGGAGGUCGAUUUAGUAUUAACUCUGCAUAACAUUGGUGACCUGAUGUAAAGACUACAUAGAACAAGACGAUUCCAACUAGACCUGAAAUAUGGAUGUAGUUCGAGAAACUGAAGCUCGCAACAAUGCAUAUGAAAGGUAAGCUUUGACCGAGUCAAUGAAAUGAAAGUUUUUUGUGAAGGAGACACUAACACCUUCCAGAAGACCCUGCAAAUUCAUAACAUGAAUACCAUAAGAGUAGCAUGACCAAGAACUAAACAAUAGCAAUUAACAGUUAACAUCAGACUUGCAUACUGCCUAUUCAAACUGCUGAACCAAAAAAGACACAAGCGAUAACCAGCCCACAACCAUAACAAAUAAGGCAUUCUCAGGAGAAUACAGGAACAAUACAAAUGAUAUUGACGAGCAAAAGGUGCCAUCUGGAAAAGCAAGGAUAUCACUUCCGGAGCUGUAUAUAUUAUUGAGAUUUUUCUGUUCCAAACAUCUUGUAAUUUUAGGCAAUCCCAUACAUAAAAAUUGCAAACAACCAGAAUGGAGUAUGGCUAUAACAAUAUAAAUGCGAAAAGACCUGUUAAGACUCCAUAAUCAAUUUAACCAAGAAAAAAGGCACAGCAAAAGGCAACUUCUGUGAGGCUUAAGAUAUUCUCUUAAAAGCUUUAACAGCGCCAGAGCAAAUAGCAACUAACUUCUGACUAAAACAAGCAACUCUUUGAGGGAGAAAGAAAGGGGAGGAACAUGAGAAGAGAAUGAGGCAAUGAAAUGGAGGCCAACCUCUUUGAGGGAGGAAAAGGAAGUGAAAAUUGUAGGAGUACCUUAUACCGAAGAAGAUAAUCCCUAGUAUUGCCAAACAAUCUUAGAUGAAUUGAAAUUCACAAACAUGGUAAAAGUUGACAAUCCACAAUUGCAACAUUCAGAAUGACAGCCAAAAACGUAAGAAAAGAAAUCAUAGUUUCUUCCUCUUGAUUGGAUGGCCAACAAAAGCAAAAGUGUCUCCGCUAUCCUUUCCUAUGUCCUAUAACAUACUCUUCUAGCUAGAACCCAUGAAGAAGCCAAAUAUCUAAAAGCCUCAAAAGCAGCAAUCCAGAACAAAUUUAGCUUCAGUAAGACUCAAGCAUGACUGAAUUGAAUUGCAUUAAAAGUCUAACUUAAACUCGGCUUGGCCCUGUAUAACAUGUGCAGAGAAAGAAGGAUGUUAGAUCCCUCCAAAACUCAAAAAACUAUUUAAAAAACUAUUUACAUAUUAUUUCUAAAAUACCACAUUUGCCCCCAAAAGGUUGAUAAUCCAAAACUCUACAAUGCCAAGUGGAUCACAAACUAAAAAGAUACAAAUGCCUCACGAAAUCUUCUCCUUUUAUUUGUUUUCACCCUGAAGAGGAAACAAAAAAGAAAAGCAACCAAUUCAUUUCUUUUCUUUCCUUAUCCCCCCAAACAAAAAACGCAAUCUCUUCUCUUUCUUUUUCCUUUCCAAAAUUAUUUCUAUCCUUUACCUUUUCCCCCUAAACUCAGAAACUAGGGCUUGCCUUGCUAUAAGACUAGCCUGCUAAGAUACAGGAGUCUAACUAGCUCAAGUAACUAAAGGAUUUCUAUAUAAGAUUACUAAAGUUGCACAUUGGACCGAUAUAUACUAGUUUUUAACUCCCUAAUUCAACCUGCAGAAGCUCCAGAGACAGGAUGCGGGUUUUGGUAGUAACUUCAUCAUUGUCUUCCUUCAUACCCAUCUGCAAACACAUAGCACAAAAAAUCAAAGACAUUGCAAUUAAAAAAUUAGAGACCACUACAAGGAAGAACCUAACCAUACAAACCUUGCAGAGGGUGCGAAAAAGGAGUAAAGCAUCAUGUUCUCCAAUGCUCACGCCUUCUAGGUCAAUUCCUCUAAAGGAAAAAAAGUUUGAAUCAGUUGUAUAUAUUCAAAGAUUAUUACAUUAAUAAUCUAUGUUAUUAGUUAACAUUUUCAGAUUCAAAGAAUUACAACAUUAGUAUGUGUCCAUACUUUGUCGCCUUUUCACCAUCUUCUAGAUGUACAGCCUUUUCAAGAGCCGCCUCUAAACCCUAUGGAGCAUAUAUCACAUAGGCAAGCUCAUCAGAUAGAAUUCCAAAAACAUAUAGCCAAAUUUAGAACAAAAAUCCUGCACAAGAAUGAGGUCAAAGUGUCCUAGGUUUCAAUUGUAGACUAAGUGCUAAACUACAAAGACUGACAGACCUUGAUAUCAGCACCACCCGCAAGAUUCUGAAGUUCCUCAAGAGAUGCAACAGAUGUAUCUUUUUCUUGGUUGAUAGAAAUUGCAUCACCCAAAGUUGAUUCUCUAUCAUUCUGAUCACUUGAUGAUUCUGGCUCAUUUCCUAAGUUUGAUUCACUUUUUGCAACAGCUUCUUUAUGUGCAACAGAAACAGAUGAAGUAGGCACCUGAAUUGGCAGAGGUACAAAAAGAUUCUCAUAUGCACGUCCCAACUUAACCAAAUGAGGAGGAAAUUUUCUUUAAGAGAAGGAACAUUCAAAAUGAAAAACCUGAUCAUUCUCCAUCCGUCUGAAUACAAUACUGAGCAUCUGAGUUAACAUAGCUUUCGCAGUUGCUUGAUUUAUUGGACUCUUGCUAAACAACAUAUUACGAAGUCAGGAGAAUAGUAUAGUGAUGAAUAAUGUCAACUAAGAAAACAUUUCACUAAUUACCUAUUAAGGGCAAUGUUAUAGCACACUCUGAUCACACCAAGCAACAAUUCUCCAUGAACUGCAUGAUGAAAAAAAAAAGUCAUAAAUAGGACAUCUCAUGCAUCAAGGAACUCCAGAGAAGCAUCAUACUAGUGAUUCAUCAAGAAUAAUUACAGAAGCAGCCCAGUCAUUAAAUUCUACAAUAUUCUUUGGUCACAUGGGCUUAGAAAAUAAAAUCGCCUCGGAAAAGAUAAUGACAUAAUAUUGAGCACAUAUUCACCUUCGAUUCAAUUGUCACUUAAUCAUCUCCAUUAAUUUUCUUACAUGCAUGAUUCCUCAUACUAUAGGACGAACAAUUCAACUAUGUAAAUUAAGUCUCAUGACUUCUUUAUCUGUAAAAUGCAGGAGACAAAAUAACUGCACGUGAACUUCAUUUGAGUUUUACUAGAAGAAACAAGGUGCAACAACUAUUUUUCUACACCAACAGGAGAAAUAUUUUUGUAGCUCUGCAUAUUGCCACAGGUAAAUCUAUUCACACAUGGAGUGCGGAGAAACCAAACAAUAGCAGCCAAGAAGCGGAUCACUGAAGUAACAAUGCAAACAAUAAUGUCAAUAUGGGUUCUAAUGUGGAGAGUUGUCUUUCCCAUUUUUGUCAUUUGGUGGAUAUUCAACCAUGACCCACAAAAAGCAUAUUGGUUAUACAAGUAAAAUGAGCAAACAACAAAAUGUCUGUAAUUCUAUACCUCUGAACUUGGCCGAUGCAACAGCUGUAAGAAGCACCUUCAACACUUGAAGAGUAGUACUGAAUGCCAAUAUGUCAGAAACCGCACCCAGAAAAACCAAAAUUUAUAGAGAAACAGAAAUCAAUUUCAACUGCAGGGUGGCACAUACCUAUCAGGAGAUGAAUUAUCCACACAACUGCAUACCAUGUUCAGGAUAUCUGUAAAUAGUGGUCCAUUUAUGCCACCAUCCAGACCAGGAUCACCCUCUAAAUGGUCAUAUGCAAUAAGUUUCUGCACUUAGAAAAUUUGUGCUUGGAAAAGUUAACAAUGAAUCUUAUUUCAUCAGUCUCAAUGGAAAGCACUACACCCAUGUAUCAAAAGUACCAUGACAACCCUGAGAAACCGAAAAAAUGGCUAAAAGUCACAUUUUGUAUUAGCUUGCACACCCAAAGUUAGACACCAAGCCUUUUAUCCAAACAACCAUUUUCAUCUUCACAAAAGCAAUAGUUUCAAUGAAGAAACUACCUCUCUAACCUUAACUUUGUGGGGAAAGAACAUUCAGAUCUCCUUUCCACUUUGCUUUCAAUAAUUUUUGUACGUGAUAAAUUAGCUUAGUAAACAACCAAGUUCUAUGAGCUGUUUCGCUGAUGUUUUGACAACAAAGUCUCAGAAUAAUGUGUUUCACAUGACGUUAGAUAUUGCUGUGGAAAACAUCCAGUGCGCAUCAAAAUAGUCUAGAUUGUUGUUCAUCCCCUGCAGCCACUCUUCAAAUUAACAAAAGAUCUUUGUAUAUCAGGUUCCCCUCCCAAAACUAAAUUAUGGUACCAGAAUUAGAUGUGCUAUCAGUAAUUUUCUCUCAAAAUUAUAAAUUCAGGAUUUAACGUGAUAAUUUCUGCUCAAGAGAAGAUUUUAUGACUUCAGAUUCUGCAAAAGAACUUAAACUACAUAAAAAAUUGAACUUUAGAAUUUUGAAUCAUCCAAAAAUUAACUCAAACUGGUAGAACAGUACUGGUUAAGAGAGCCUCGAUCAAGCAUAAAAUAAAUUGUCAUAUCAUCCAUGAUACUUUCAGACUUGAUCACGCUUAGCCAAAGGCAUAAUAUAUGAAAUAGCAGAUCAAAUCAGAACAUAAUUCGAAAAAUUAGAAAACAACCACAGUCAAUUAUGUACAUGAGCACAGUUGAUAUAGCAUGUGAUAUUUUGCAACUAACCUCAUAGUAUAUUGCCAGAUCAACUUUUUUCUACUACCAUUUCAAGGUGAAUUUUACACAUUGGGGAGUUGCAAUCCAUGCGCACAAGGAAAUUAGUUUAUUUUUUUCCUUGUAUUGUUGUAAAAAAAUCACCCAAAACAAGAUUAAAAACAUUGCCAUACUGUACAAAAAGAGAAGAUAACAAGUAUAGGAUAAUAGAUGCAAUAAAGACAGAUACUUUCCAGUAAAACACAAGUUUUCAGUGUUAAAGACAAAAAAUAACAAGAGGCACCCACAUGAAGACAAUCCAAUGCAAGCUCUACCACUUUAGCAUUCUUAGUCUCAAAUGCAAGUCGUAGUGGAUUCAAAACAAGCUCCGCGUCAUCUCCUCCUAAAGUAUUCCCAGCAUUUGCUAAGGUAACUGUGAUAGUUCCACCAGCACUUUUAGGUCUCCCUAUGGGAUCUGCUGCCACACUAGACUGUGAAGGUGUUGUUGAAUCAUCUGGUUCCGUAGUAUCUUUAGCAGAUCCAGCUUGAGUAUCAGUCAAACUACUGGAAGAAGGAUUAAAAGAAAUUCAAAUAACUAAAGAUAUUACAAUAGAUUUGAUGCAUUUAGGAAGCUCAUACUACCCAUCAAAUCACAAAAAGCUGUUGCAAUAAAUAUAAGAACAUGAUCCAAGUACUAAUCAAGCUCCAAGGGUAUACGGCAUUUUUAAAAAAUAAGUACCACAAAAGAUGAGCGGUAAUUGGCCAAAUGAACCAAUAAAACAUAAAACUAAAUGUUGGAGCAAAUUUGCAGAAGAGAGCAGAUAGAAAGCAACUAUCAGUAGGUAACCAACCUCUCAUCUCCAAGGGAAGAUGCUGUUUGCAUAGUAGCACUGGAACUCGAUUGCUGAUUGGAGUGCUUUGCAUUUUCUGAAAUUCAUAAUCCACAAGAGAUACAGGAACCAUUAAUCAGCAAUAAUACUUUAUAGUAGCUGGUGAAAGUAGAAGAGUGUAACUAAUAAAUACACUUCUAAUUGGGUUAACAAAAAAGACACAAAGGGAAACAUCUCCUGUGGCCAUUCUGUAGUGCAAAUGCCUCAAAAUAAAAGUGGAGGCAACACCAUCAGUAAACUUUAAACAUAUCCAUAUAAAGCAUUUUUUAACCAGAACCCUAGGCAGCACUUUCUUUUAGAAGCCUACAAAAGGAUUGUCUAUCCCGCCAACCACAUUGCCCAACAAAAACCAAAGAAAAUAACAAAAAUCCUUGGUAUUCUAUCAAACCAAGAGUUCCAGAAAAUUUCAGGAAAAAGAAAAGAAAAAUGAGCAAAGAAAUUGUUACAGUUUUAUAGAUAACAUUAAUAAACUUGUCAAUUCAUAAGAAUGAGAGGCUUAGAUGGAAGAUUGAAGAUAAGAAAAGAAAAAAUUUAUUCCAUCAACUAUCUGAGAAAUUAAUAGAACAAAGGAAACAGACCAUGCGGGACAAGUAUAGUAGGUUACACAAAAUAAUUAAUCACAAAAAUUGGCUUACACUUAUUUGCAUGUAUCGAAUUAACUCUUUCAUUCCAACAGUCUGGUAGACCUGAAGAUCAACCAUAAUAUCAAGAAAACAGGGGCCCUUGCAGGCUGGUAUCUUUUGUUUUAGUGUUCCUUCCAAAGUUUUUUGCUUCCAUAAAUUUUGUUACAUAACUAAAGCAGCAGUAUAGUAUCAUUCCACUAAUAUGAUGCAUAUCAAGACCACUAUCCAAGAGCCCCUCAGCCAAGUUAGCCAAUGAGUAAUUUAAUGAGGACAACCAGGAAAGAAUCACAACCAAUGCAAAAGAUUUUUGCACUCGCAACUCUCGUCUCAUUCGAUGUUACACCAGAUGACCGAAAAUUUUCCAGGCAAUUAUUUGGUUUAGCAAUUGUACAAAACUGUGCUCCAGCACUAUUGCCACGAAAAGUACAUUCUGGAAUCAACUUAUAAGAACUUUGACCUCGAACAUAACAUAAAGAAAUACUUCGAAUACACAAUAAACAUGUCAAAAGGUAAAGAAGAUACAUUCAAUCAGCACAUAACCUUAUGAUUUAUUUUCCACAAGACACAAACUAUCGAUACAUUUCCAUUGCUUCAAAUUGAAGCCAAUUCAGCUCAAUGUCCACGCACUAAAACAAAGAAAACACACACACACACACAAUUGGAAAGUAAAUAAAAAAUCAGGGAAUUAAACUCGAACUACAUAGUUUAAGUACAGGAAGAAAUCAAUUUAGUUGCAAGAAUGAAGCUUGAAGCCAAAAAGAAAAAAAAUAUAUCAAUCAGGGCUUAGAGGGAAAAGGGCUUAAAAAACGGACCUAAAUAACUCUGAAUAGCAGUUUGCAGAGCAGUAUACUUCUUAUUGGCACACUCCUUGAGCAUUGAGUCAAAUGCCCGGGUGACAAAACCCCCUGCAGCGCCAGCCAUUUUGGUAUUUCUUUCUUUCCCCCACCUCAACCCGAUUCAAUUCGAGUCAAUUGGCAAGAAGGGUCCUCUUAACUUGCAAAUACAAGUGAUUCAAGAUUGAGAUCAGAGCAGAUCAGGUGCAAGAUUAAUAAAUCUUGAGGUGGGCUAAUCAUGUAUUGAAUAAAUCUCAAAGAGUGAGAAAGGGAAUGGGUUAAUGCCUUACCUUCUUAUUUAUCUCUGGAGGAGAGGGAAAAGAAUGAAUAGGUAAGCGGAGGAAAUGGAAUUAGUGGGAGAUCUGGGAGCGGAAAUGGGCAGAAACGAAUGAAAAGUAGAUUAUAGACUCUGUUCUCACUUCUCAUUUGUCAUUGGUACGGAGAAUCCUCCGACUUGGGAAUUAAAGUCCCCUGCCUGCCUAUGAUUUCUUCCCUUUGAUUUAAUCUAGUAAUAAUAAAUUUCCCGCAUCCCCGUAUGAUUUUCCUAUCGUGACGAUCUUUUUUCUUAAGAUUUUCCAAGUAGUUUGAUUUGUUUCUUCUUUUUAUUAUUCUUGAAUUUUCACAAAUUGGUUUAUUGAUUUCCCUUUUGAAAAUUUCUUUUGUUUUUCUCUUUAUAUUUGAAAUUUAUGAAAUUUGUUUGUCAAUAUGACGAUUUUUUAGGUCUGUUUUAAAAUAUUUUUAUAUUAAUAUUUGAAUUUAUAAUAGUUAAAUUUUAUCUUGAUAAUAUCAGACAUGCACAUACACGAAUAGGAGAUUAAAACCUUAAAGGUCUUACUAUUUGUUGAUUUUUUUGGAUGUGAGGAAGAUUUUCUAUCUAUUAUAUACUUGUUUUUAUUUAUGUAGCAUAGUUUUAUAAUGAAAUUAUCCUUUUAUCAUAAAAAUAAAUAAUUAAAGAGGGAUAAAGCAAGGAUCUAUCCGUCCUAAAUUUGUGAAAAACCUAAUAAUUUAAAGCCUUAAAAGUCUUACUAUUUGUUGAUUUUUUUUUUAUGAGAGGAAGAUUUUCUAUCUAUCAUAUACGUGUUUUUAUUUAUGUAGCAUAGUUUUAUAAUGAAAUUGUCCUUUAUUAUAAAAAUAAAUAAAUAAAGAGGGAUAAAACAAGGAGACUAGAAUGAACACGACAAAAAAAAAACCAAAAUUUUAGAGUAAAAAAUACCAAAAAAUACUCGAACUCGUCGCAACUCAAUAUUUUCAAAUCGUUACAUUAUAUUUUUUUAAAAAUAAAAUUUCUAAAAUUAGCAAUCUAAUACUCGAGCUCGUCACAGCUCAAUAACACCUCAUAAUGAAUCAAAUAUUUUGUUGGGAGGCAAUUAAGCUGUCCGGUGGCCUCAUCGGAGCAUGCUGAAAAAGUGGCGCAUGCCAUUGGGCUUAACCUUAACAUAAUAAUGCCGAGUAAAUUCUCAUUGGAUUUUAUUGGCAUUACAAACCAUUAUUGUGGGAGUUACUCUUGCAAGAAUAGAACAUUUUUAUCCUCAAAUUAUUUUUUGUUUGAAUAAAAUAGCGUGAUUCCUACAAAUGGUGUGAAAAUUAUAAUUAAAUAAUGUUUAUAAAUAAAUCUGCAUAUAGUAAAAGAAGAAAUUUAUAGACAAUAAGACAUGAAUUUAGGAGUUACAAAACUCAAUGCCUUAUCGUUAACUAAAUAAUUCUACUAUAUAUUAUUAUUGGUAUUGAAUUUUGGACGCUGCACUCUAGUGCCUAAGAACAAAUGCGACAAACACCUAAAGUCGAGAAAUGAGUAUUUAACAUCUAAAAAUACACAAUCAAUAAUGCUUUCCAAGGAUAGAAUGUGUAAUUGUGUAUUCCUUGGAUGAUACUCCCUAAUUAAUUUGCUACAUUAUUGUUAAAUUGAGUAUUAUAGCAGGAAUAUUAGAAGUUAUAGUAUAAGAGAUCCUGACAAGUAAGUAAGGGUGUAAAUGAAUCAAAUCAAAUCAAAUGCUUUAGUGUUCAAAACUCGUUUCAUUAUAUGUUAACGAACUCAAAAUUUUGUUUAAGUUUGUCUUGUUUAUUUGACGAAUUGAGUGCGAACGAGUUUUUUUUUUUAUCGAAUUUAAAUGUUAUCGAAUGCUAUUAAAAUUUGGUCUGAUUAGUUGACAAAUCAAACUUGAACGAGUUUUUACUAAGUCGAGCUCGAUUCAAUUGAGUAGUUUGGUUUAUCUUUCAAUCCAACAGCAAAGCAUCUGCCUUUCACGCCUUUGACGAUAUUUCAAGAAGGCGCCAGCUCACGGGUCAAAGUUGAAGCCCGCCUUCUAGUUGCAGUAUUUGAAGGCCUGUAUACUUUGGUACCUACCCUGAGUGGCUGCUUAUUAGUACAGCCUGUGCGAUUCCAGUCACCUUAUUUUCUCAGCAAGCGAUCAGUUAUUUCCUCAACGUUGUCGCUUUGGGGAUGUCACCCGCCGGAGAGCCCGUGAGGGUGCAGGCCAUAGCCCAAACCCGCAACUCCGUUGUGCCUCCUCAGUACGUACAACCCCCAGAAACCCGACCUGCUGCAAAGCUGACCCAUCAUCAUAAGAACGAGGCGGCUGAGCUAUCUCCGCCGUCGAUUAAUCUCGCCGGAGAAGACACCGGCCGCCUCAAAGACGAGAUAGGGCUGGCCUGCAGAGAUUGGGGGGCGUUUAGCGUGGUCAAUCAUGGGGUACCGAUGGAAUUGCUGGAUCAGAUGAGGCGAGUGGGGAAAUCAUUCUUUGAGGAAUGUGAUAUGGAGCAGAAGCUCAAGUAUUCUUGUGAUCCUAAUUCGCCGGCUUCCGAGGGUUAUGGUAGCCGGAUGCUGGUAGCUGAUAACGACAGCGUUUUGGAUUGGAGGGACUAUUUUGAUCACCAUACCUUGCCGCUGUCGAGGCGGAAUCCGGCUAAGUGGCCUCAUUAUCAGCCUAAUUACAGGUGGGAUGGCUCGUAAAUGGUUGUUUAUUCUUCUAUUCUAAUCAAUCAUAAUUUAUCUUUGGAAUUGUAACCUUUGAUUGCUAUUAGUUCAGUACUUAGAAAAUUUUGAAUGAUGCAACCAGACAAUUGUCUGAAUAUUUGGAGAAUGUAGACCUAGACAGAAAAGGGAUGCUGGAAAAGGGGAAAAUGUGGGGCUCAUUUGGUUACCAGGACUACGCAGGAUUGGAUUGUUAAUCCUGUUUAGGGGUCAUUGGGUUACCUGGGAUUAGACAAGGUUAGGCUGGAUUGAAUGACUAAUCCCUUCUGGGGCUCCCGGGAUUAGGCAGAUUGGAUUAUUAAUCCUGUCUCAUCAAUGAACUAAGAGAAAAAAUAUGAGGGACAACGAGGUGGGGAAAGAUAAUAGACAGAAGAGGUCUUUUUGCAAAUUAAUUGUAUUGUAUUUUUUACAUUUAACUUAUUCAGCAUUGAUUCCCAUUUCCUAUCAUCCUCGCAUGAAAGGACUGACGAAAAAGUACAUCGUUGAUUAGAGAAGUAGUGGCAGAAUACAGUGAUCAGAUGAAAGUCCUUGCUCAGAGAUUGUUGGGUUUGAUAUCGGAGAGUCUUGGUCUGCCAUCUUCAUGCAUUGAAGAGGCUAUUGGGGAGUUCUGUCAGAACAUUACAGUGAGUUAUUACCCUCCUUGUCCACAGCCAGACCUUACUCUUGGUCUGCAGUCGCAUUCUGAUAUGGGUGCUAUCACGCUUCUUAUCCAAGAUAACGUUGAGGGUCUUCAAGUGUUCAAGGAUGGAGAAUGGAUAACAGUACGUCCACUGCGUGAUGGUAUCUUAGUUCUCUUGGCUGACCAAACUGAGGUACUGCAUCUUGUUGUUGACAAUAGAUUUUCUACUGAUUCUUGAUGGCUUUGGAAGCAGGUUUUAGUUUUCCGUGCACUUUUAUGCACCAUUUUGUGUUUCUGGUAGAGAUAUUAACUUAAUUCUCUUAUUCUUUUUUAUAUUUUUUUGGAUACUUAGUUUGUCUUGAUACAGUAGCAGUAUAUAGUUGCCAAUUCUUAGUAUCAUUCUAAUUUUGGAGAGGUCAGUCUGAAAAAAAAAAGCUUCUUGUUUUUGCUAAAUGACAAGUCUGGUAUGGUAUGCUCCAUCUUUCCAGAACUACUGAUGACUGAUUAAAUACUUAUUUUAUGAGCCAUACCCUGGUGGGUUGGGAGGUUGAAUCCCCAUUCUGGCAGUUAAAUCUUGAGAGUGCAGCGGGUUUGAUUCCUAGUUCCCCUUCCCAAAAACCCUGUCGGGUCCCUUUUAGAAGUAGAUCAAAGUUUAGACUGUUGCCUGGCCGUUGCUGGAGUUUGUGACAUUAUUUAUUUUGCUUGUAGAUCAUAACAAAUGGCAAAUACAGAAGUUGUCAACAUCGGGCAAUUACAAACGCUGAAAGAGCGAGACUUUCAGUUGCCACAUUCCACGAUCCUGCAAAAACUAGGAAAGUAUUCCCAGCUUUUGAACCACCUAUAUACCAUGAAGUCAUGUAUGGGGAUUAUGUCUCCUCAUGGUACACAAAGGGCCCGGAAGGGAAAAGGAACAUUGAUGCACUUCUGAUCAAAUACUGAAUGCAAAGAUAAUUCCGUUUAACUUUCUGCAAUUUUCCAAAUACCAUAGUGAAACUGUGACCAUGAUUUACAUUUCUUCAAUUUCAUUUAGUACAAACCAUGUAAAGAACAUUAGUUUUCAAUACAGUGCAAUGAAAAGCAGCUGAAUUAGCUGUAAUUUAUUUUAGUUUUGAGAAAACUAUUAUUAUUUGCCAUCUUUGUGUUUUGGAAGUUCAUCUUUGACAUGUUUUAUGAAAGAUUGUAUGCAUUAGUCCAAAAGAUCAAGAAAAUCUUGAAUAACUAUAGAAGAAACUUCCUCUGAGUAAGUUAAGAUGUGCUAGUCGCCGCAUCAAAAUCAAACACAAACCUCACUGUAUUCUGGACACAUUGUAGUCGUUCUUAAGACCUGUAUCCAGCUCUAUCCCAAGCAUCGAGUCAACCUGAGGGAGUGUAACACCUAUGGCUACCCUCAGCAAUUACAGAAGGCAGUAGCAAUGUUAUAAUUAAGUCAAUCAGGGGUACAAGGUACGAUCAAUACACGAAAGGUAACAUAUGGUUUCGACACAAUUGAAUAUUGCUGUUGAACUAGAUGCCAUCUAAUGCCCCAUUAGCAACCUCAGAUGCGUUUCCAUGAAGCUGAGAUUUUCUUGCUGAAGUGCCAUUACAACUGAAAGACAUUUCCACGACCUCCUUCAAGAAGGCAUCCACUUACCAUACCUGUUUCCAACGAGGACAAGUAUCACGAAAUGGAAAGCAAAAGAAGAAAAGAAUGCAACACAUCAAAUCUGAUAGUUGGAAAACGGUGUAGAAGGUAAAACUGAAGAUGCUUAUACGCGUAAUUCAAAAAUGACAUGUAUAAUAAAGCAACACAAGUAAGGAAUGUCAUAGUUGGAAACAGUUCAUGGUCAUUUAACCACAAGCAGUCUGUCUGGGAUAAAAACUUAAGGAACAGAGAUUUGAUGCAGCGCAUCUGACUAACCAGUCCUGGUACUGCCUCGACCUCAAUGCAAGAAAAACAAAAGAUAUGCAAUUUAAUUAGAGUACUAUAACAGCAUAGCAAGUGAAUAAACACCAUUUCUUUAUGUUAUACUCUUACUCACAGCUUAUAGUCAUAGCACACAUUCUCUUCUUGGGAAGUAACAAACUUGCAUCACCUCAGCCCAUUUCUCCACUCUAUCAGAUCAGGGUAAAAGCAUACUUGUACCUGCAUCAGAAGGUCGAUAGCUUAAUCAGAUGCUGACAAGAAUUAUUGAGCUCAAGUAAAAUCCUGAGACAAACAACAUAAUGUUUUACUUCAACUAGAGCAGUGAUCAGUUGGUUGAACCCUGACCUAGCAUCGCACGUUCUCCAUAUCCAAAGGGAUUCAUUGCCCAAAUGGAAAGAUAACAUGAGUUAAAGCUGCAUCACCUUAUAUUUCUGAAGGUCGGGUAAAUAGUACAUCACUUCAGCAUAAUUUGCUGAACGCCCUUCCAAAAUAGUUUCCUAAGUCUCUGGAUAGACAUUUUAACUGAUGCAGGAGUCACAAAGUUCUACGGAUUAAGAAAUGCCUGUCAUAAGGACAAGAUUUGAAGAUUAACGAGGUCAAAGUUUACUUACCAAGAGACUGAAUUAAAAAUACAUAUACAUACACACAAAGAUACCUAUAAAACGGUCAAGACAACUUCAUACCUAAACAACCAAUCAAGAAAAAAGAUCUCAGAGAAAGGUCAGGAUGGCUCUCCACAGUUACUUUGCCAGCAGACAACCAUCAGCUCUGGUCUACCAGAAGCCAUCACAAAAUAAAUUCAAACUCAGGUCCGCAACCAGUCAGCUUAAGUUGCCCAACCAAUUCAUCCAGUAGCAGGUAAAUUUCUUCAGAUGCUGGAUGACAAUUGUCACAAGAAGCAAACUGAAAUAUGUUCUUCUCCACUUCAAUCCAACUGGAUCCAGGAUAUCUCUUUUCUACUCCAAGGUUCUUCAUGUUUGCCCUGAUUCUAGCAACCUCACUCCAUCGAUUUGCUUCAGCAUACAUGUUCACUAAAAGGUUAUAGUAUCCACUAUUCUUUGGCUCCAGAAGCAUUAACUUAUCAACAGCCAUCUGAGCAAUCUCCAAGUUCUUGUGAAGCUUACACCCACAAAGUAAAGAACCCCAUAUGACAGAGUUUGGUUCAAUAUUCAUUCUUCUUAUCAGUUCCAAUGCUUCAUCAAGUAAACCAGCCUUGCUUAACAGAUCAACCACGCAUCCGUAAUGCUUAAUUUCAGGAGGGAUGAGAAGGUCACGAGUCAUUUGAAGAAAUCUGCUUUUGCCCUCUUCAACCAGUCCAGCAUGAGUACAUGCUGCAAGAACACUAAGAAAGGUAAUGCCAUUUGGCUUUAUCUUCUCCUUCUCCAUCAUAUGAAAUAUCACCAAAGCUUCUUUGGCACAACCAUGAGCUGCAAGCCCUUCAACCACAGAAUUCCAACAGAAAAGGUUUUUCUCGGACAAUUUGAAGAAUACCACAAGGGAUCUCUCUACGGCACCACACUUUGCAUACAUAUCAAUCAGUGAUGAACCAAUGUAAACAUCAAGAUACAAUCCACUUUGCAGAACAUACAUAUGUAUCUCCUUUCCUUGGUCUAGCCAACCAAGAUGAGCACAAGAAGAAAUGAUUGUUGACAUGGUCACUUCGUCAGGACUGAUCCCAUUAUCCUUCAUCUCGUUGAAAAUCUCUAGUGCUUCUUUGUAGUGCUUGUUUUGAGAGUAGCAGUUGAUCAUGGUUGUCCAUGAAAUUAAAUCUUUUUGCGGUAUUCCAAUGAACAACUGCUUAGCAGACUCAACAUCACCAAUCCUUGCAAAACCAUUCAGCAUAGUAUUCCAAGAUGCAGUAUUUUUCUCGGGCAUCUCAUCAAACAACUUCCUAGCAGAACUCAAAUCCCCAAAACGGACAUGAGCUGAAACCAUUGUUGUCCAGGCAAAACCAUCUCUCUCAGGCAUCUUAUCAAAUACUAGUCUUGCUUCAACAACUUUACCAAAAUUUGAAUAAUAAUCAAUAAUAGCAGUCUGAACAUGAAGAUGAGUUUCAAAUCCACACUUCCAAACCUGUCCAUGGAUAGAAUCUCCAAAAUCUACAGCCUUCAAACAUGUGCAGCUCUUUAUUAUUGAUGAAAACGUGAAACUAGUUGGUCUGACUUCAGUUUUCAACAUGUCUACAUACAUUUCUAAAGCUCGGAGUGGAUGGAAACAACGGAGAAAGGCUCCUAUUACUGCAUUGUAAACAAAUGUAUUGGGAUCUUUUAACUGGUCAAAGGCAGCAAUUACCCAUUCUGUACAACGAAUGCUUGAAGAUGCAGUGAUAAAUUGAUUCAUCAGGAAACAAUCUUGCGUUGCAUUUGUCUUGAUCAUGAAAGCAUAUAGAGAUUCCAGCUCUUUCAAGCUUGAACAUUUUUUAAAAUCGCUAGCAAACAGACCAAGUUGUUGGCUUUUUUCUCCCACGAGUCUUCCACCUAAAUGACAGAGUGUGGUUCAAAUAAUCAUAAUCAGAACUCAAUAUCUAUUUCACUUUCUUGCACUUUUAACAUUAUCAAAUUUAAAGCUUGUCGUCAACACAAUACAAUACUGCCCUUGAAAGUUGCAGCAGCUACAGAUUUCAGAUUUUAAUAAGCUGUACAUCAACUCAGAACAAUUAAUUAAAUUACAUUAAUAAUAGAACAGUAAGUGGACAUUUCUUGAUUAAUGAAAAACCAAGAGAAAAUCAGUUAGGAUUGAAUUGACAUUGCAUUCAAACUUCAUCUAAAUAAUAAGCUCUGCUAGCCAUAUACACAUAGAUAUGCGAAUUGAAACAAUAUAUUGGCAAAAUGGAAACUUUUUUUUCUUUGGCUGUUCUCAAGAAUUGUCCCACAUACCUACUACAUCUUUGACGAAUUUCAUAGACUGAUUACGAAAUGGAAACAUGAACGAAGGGGUGAAGCAUCAUCCCAGUAAGUAAAAUAGACAAAACAUGUCUCUCUCUCUCUCUCUUUCUAUCCCUGAUAUAUCCCGGGACAGCAUAGUACAGAAAAGUUGUCCAUAGAAGAUAGGAAAUCUCGAAAGGUUAGUUUUAAAACCUCUUUGAAGGGAGACUGGAGAGUGGGGGUUUUCAGAAGGAACAGCUGGAAGAGCUGGGAAGGUGGCUAUGGGGUGGAAAACUGGAAAUAUGCGAAAUUGGAGAAAUUGAUAUUUCAGGGGUGAGAUUGAGAAUUGAUUUCUUGAAUUUAUGCUUUGACAAAAUUUGAUAAACCAUUUUGAAUUUUUAAUCAUAUUAGAGGUCUUGAGUUUUAAUUCCCUUUUUUAAUUCCAUGCUCCUUAACUUCUAUCAUUGCCUUGUUCUUUAAAAGAAAAAAAAAUGUCUCUUGUGAUUUAAAUUUUACUGUAAUUUUAAAUUAACUCCUUAUUGUUAAUCACCACUGCUUUUUGAUGUUUUGAUAUACUAAAUAUACAAAUGUACCUCUGUUCUUCAUUAUAUUCACAACCAUCCCUUUGAUGAAAAUUGUAAUUUAAGUAAACAACAGGGCAUUUCGAUCAUUUACAUGAGUGAAAAAAUAAACGAGGUGUAAUUACCAUUUUCCUUCCAAAAAGAAUAAAAUAAAUUACCUCACAGCUUUUUUGUUAAGAAAAUAAAAAGUAUAUAUAUAUAUAUAUAUAUAUAUAUAUAUAUAUAUAUAUAAUAGACACGCAUAUACAUUUUCUAAGUUUUUGGACACAGAUCAAAUACCCAUACUGUGGAGCAUGUGGCUAACUCGACUCACAUCUCGCGGGUCAAUCAUUUUUUGACCCUUAUCUGUCCUGCAUAUCAACAAAUCAAAUACCCAUCUAAAAAGAGUUUGAUUAGUUGAUACUAAUCUCGCCCCUCUUAUCAUUUAAUUUUUUAAAAUAAUUUAUAUUAAUUUAUUUUUAUAUUUACAUGUUAAUCUAAAAUUCAAUAUUGAUUUGACCAAAAAAAAGGUCUUAUGUUGAGAAACGAACAUGCCAAGAGAAUACAUCAAAAAGGUCAAAAAAAGAAUCCAAAACUAAUGAAAUUGUUAUAAAUAUGAUCCUUUUUUUUGUACAUAUUCUACAUGAAUAAAACUUUUUUUGUAAAAAAAAUAAUAAUAAGAUCAUGAUAUUACCAAUGAAUCUUAGAAACAAAUUAUAGAUGCUCAUAUUUGGGAUAUAAUUUGCUCAACAAAAUCACUUAGUUAGCUCUAAAAAUAAUAUCUUGUAUGUGUAAGUUGUCGUGCAAAACAAGGCGAGUACCUGACGGGUUUUUAAUCAUAUGAUCUUAACCCAACUUGAAAAAAAAAGGAUAUCUGAUUUUUUUUGACUUAAUCAAAUAAUAUGGAUCAAGUACCCUAUUCCACGACGUACUAAUAAAAAACACAAUUCAAAACUUUAUGAUUUUUUUAUAAUAAAUGAGAGAAUUUAAAUUUAAAUCCAAGACUUCUUACUUAUAAUCCUUCCGAUCUUCCAAUCAAAAUUAAACCUCCCCCCCCCCCCCCCUUUUCUCUAUGGUGGUUAAAUUGAUUGAAUCUUGACUACAUUAUGCACAAAAUGCCUUACUCAUACUCUCCCGCCGCGCACAGUCCACAGACACCAAAAAAAACCACGGACUACUAUCCGAUGACUUCCAGCGAUUAGUUAGUCUGUAGGCGUGGUUGAUGGUCAAUGAAAGCAAAACCAAUCCAAUGGGGUGGGCAAUAUGAAGUCCGAAACUGUCAAAACCUAUCCAAUGGGUCCUCUCCUCCGUUUCUGAACAUUUGACAAAUCACAAAUCCACCAAUCGUCUCGUCAUCUGAUUUCCCAGAUUUCCCCUUUCCUUAUCAUCUUCGCCAUUGCAUAUAUAACUGACUACUUUCGUACUACUCCUACUUUUCUAGCAGCAAAUCAAACCCACAAUAUCCCUCCUCAGCAGCAAUGUUGCUGAGUGCUCCAAAACUCUCCAUUUCCCCUUCUUCUUCUUCUUCUUCUUCUUCUUCUGCUGCUGCUUGUUCUGCGCCCCUCCUUUUCCCUGUCAAAAAAUCCAGCAUCCCAGCAAGAAACUUCCCUUCAUUUCUCCACUCCGCAACAUCUCACAUUUCUCUCGGCGUUCCCCGAGCCGCCUCCUCAUCCUCCUCCCCCUCCCCCAUGAUAGAGAAAGAAACCUUAGAAACCCACCGUCCCCACACCUUCCUCCGCGAAUCCGAUGAGGCUGCGGCCUUCUCCUCCUCCUCUUCUGAUUCUGCCGGCUCAGUCAGGGCCAGGUUUGAGAAGAUGAUUAGGGACGCCCAGGACAGCGUUUGCGCCGCAAUUGAGGCCGUGGAUAAUGGCAGCAAGUUCAAGGAGGAUGUCUGGUCCAGGCCCGGCGGUGGUGGCGGCAUCAGUAGGGUUUUGCAGGACGGCGCCGUUUGGGAAAAGGCUGGGGUCAAUGUCUCCGUGGUUUAUGGUGUUAUGCCGCCUGAAGCUUAUCGGGCCGCAAAGCCAUCUUCAGAUAAUGGUGACAUUAAGCCCGGGCCAAUUCCCUUUUUCGCCGCUGGCAUUAGCUCGGUAAUCCCAAUUUUACAGCUUUUCGUUUUCUUUCUUUGGUAGCACAAUUUUACGGGUAAUUAUUGCUCUAUGGUUGAUUGGAAUGAACUGUCAUUGUUGGAGGUACAAGAAUUGUGGCUUAAUGGACGACUUUAGAAUUAGCUUGUGCUGGUGGGCUGCUUUGAGAGAAUUGUAGUGUUUGCUUAUAUAGCUGCAAAGCUGCAAUACUCUUGAGCUAAAAGUGCGAUCAACAUCUUUUGCAACUGGUUUUAGCCGGAUGAGGAAAUGCUUCCGAAUUUGUGCUCUCGUUGGGUUUGUGUAUGUAUGGUAAGCCCGUAAUACUCGGGGCAUCGUGCUUGUGGGAUGAAAAUCCUAAGAAGAGGGUAAAGUUAUAGUAUUUUAAUAAGAGAUGGGCAACAUUUUGUAAAUUAUAGCUGAGCAGCUAUGAUUAUCAUUUUGAUGAAGCUAGAAAAGUAUGCCCGCAUGUUUUAUUUGAUUGUUUAGACGGGGAGUGUAUUGUUAAGCACAUAUAGGUUGAACUUUUGUUCCUUCUGAAAAGGCCAUUUCUUGAUUGUUUUACAUUUUUUGUACUGCAGGUUCUGCAUCCACACAACCCCUUUGCACCGACUUUACAUUUCAAUUAUCGGUACUUUGAGACUGAUGCUCCCAAAGGUAGUAAUUUGUGCUUCUUGUUCAUAUGCUUCUUGUGAAUGCUGAAGAUUUCAAGAAUGAUUGUUAAAACAUUGUUUUGCAUGUCAAAUUGAAAUCAGUGAACGGAAUCCUGAUACUUGCAGGUUUACUGUCUAGUUUAAUGAAACCACAAAAGUAAGAAAUUUUUGUAAUGUUUUUAAUACUGCUAAAUUCUUUCCGCAUAUCCUUCACUGAUCGCUUUCGAUUAUUAAAGCUGCAUGUUCCUGUUUGUUGAGGUUCAAUUAAAGUACUCAGUAUGAGAAAGGAUCUUUCCGAGGUGAUGUGAUUCCUGUAAAAACUGAUGAUGCUCCACUGCCUAAGAUUUACAUAAUUGUGAAGCAAAAUUGGAAAAUCUACAUAUUCAAAGGAAUCAACUUCUUUGUGUAGUAUAAGAUUGGUAGGAUGUAUUAACAAUGGAUGUGUUUACAAAAAUCACCUAUGAUGAAGAUUUUGUACUCGAUAUGAUUCCUGUAAAAUGUCUUCUGGCUUGUCUGCGAUAUGCUUCGAGUGCAAAAUAAACUUGUUGUAAAACCCACAUGGCAAUGCAAAGCAACAUAUUGUUGUCUCUCUCAGGAAUUUUUCCCCUAAAGUUUCCUCCAUUCCUCAUCAUGGUCUAUGAGUUAUUUUAAAACUGUUAAUAACUAUUUCCCGAUAUGUCUAAUCUCCAUUAUAGAAAACUGUUUUCUACUCCAUGAUUUGAGUUGGAUGAAAAGCUCACUUGGGAGUUGUUGGAGUUGCAGUUGCAAAUUUUUUGAUUGAGGAAUUGGAAUGUGUGCAAAAUCUUGUAAAUAUGAUAUAUUGGGUCAGCAUCAGAAUUUCUAUGUUUGUAUCUGGCUUUCUAUACAAUAUUGGUCAUGUCAGAACCCUUCGAUCAGAAUUGCAUUUUUUAUGGUGUCUUUAUCAAGAUUUCAUCUUUGUCUUUGUUGCUCUAUUAUUAUUAUUAAGUGAAAAGCUAUGAAACAUGCUAUAUAAUCAUUACCUGGGUUUACGUUAUAUGCAGAUGCUCCAGGAGCUCCUAGGCAGUGGUGGUUUGGUGGUGGUACAGAUUUUACGCCUGCUUACAUUUUUGAGGAGGAUGUUAAACAUUUCCAUUCGGUAAGCUUAUUCGUUGUUAUGCAGUACACUUAAAAAUAAUAUUAAGAGCACUUUCUUUAUUGAUACAUGUAAAAUUAUCUGUCUCAAGGAUAUAAAUUCGAAUAUGUGAUGGUUCACUUUUAUCUGGUGCAACUUGCUUCCAAAGAUGUCACAAGUCUUGGUUACAUGCUUGAAAUCAUCAUCUUUCGGUCAGCUCGGGAGCUGGCUCAAGAUAUAUAUUUGAUGAAUCAGUAAAAGGCAAAAUGAUCUUAGAAGAUUUAAUACAAAUAAAGUAUCAAAACAAGAUUCUGGCUUUCACUACUUUCAUAGAAAGCCAAAUUUUUAAACAUACAAAGGUUAUCCAGUGAUAUCUAAUUUAAAAUUUUUUGGAAAAGGAAAUUUACAAAACAAAUUCAGUCAGUAUAGUCCAGGUCAACAGGUUCUGUAUCGAUAAGUUUUGGCCGGUAUCUGAACUUCUGAUUUACUGCUGUCAUCAUCUGGGAUACAUUAUUCUGCUGUAACAAAGAUUUUUGCAGGUUAGAUUGUGAGAUUUCAAAUAUUGUUUCUCUAACUUCCCUUCUAAUGAAAACACUUCAUUCAUCUUAUCAUUUCCUUCUUCAUGAAUUUCUAGUUCACUACCAGAGUUCUUCAUGCUGGUCUUUGUUUGCAGGUCCAAAAAAGUGCAUGCGACAAGUUUGACCCUAGCUUCUAUCCUCGAUUCAAGAAAUGGUGUGACGACUAUUUCUAUAUUAAGGUACGCAUUUACAACAAGGAACAUUUUGGAUUGACUAGUCUGGUUUUUUACCUGUUAGGGAAACCAGCAUCUAAGAGACUGAAAUGUGGUUAGUUCAGAUGCAUUUUAUCUUUCUGCAUCAUUUUGUUUCCAAAACAACCAGAGUUCCUCAAAAUUUCCAGCUACUAAUUUGGAGUUUAUAUGUAGGAAAUCUGUUAGUCUGAAGUCCAAAAGUUAUCUUAUUCUGAUGCCAUAGUUGAGUCCCUCCCUUAGUUCCAUUAUGAAUCAGGGUUGAUGUAUUUUAUCGAUGCAAUUUAUCUGAGAGGGCAAGAGGGAAAAAUAGGCAGGAGAGGAUAGACUUAUGUGUGCUCAGACUUAUAGAUGAGAAAGUUGAUGAAAAGAAUAUCUAAUCCUGUAUGCUUACUUUUCUUCAUUUUCUGUCUUACUGUUGGGCAAAGAAAUUUCUUUUCUUACAACACACUUGGUUUUUGUGCUAACAAUCUGACAUUGACAGAUUCUUUCUUUUAAUUCCUUAUAUUCAUGUAGCUUCAGUUCUUUAUGCAUUGAGAGUAAUUUGAAGGGAAAUAGCUACCACACAGGGAUUUUGUCUCUGUUUAUAAUCAGAAACUGGAAAUAAGUUGCUGCUUUUAACUUUUAUUUUGUUCUUUGGGUUAUGUGGAUACUUAACAUACAUAGUGAUUAAGAAGCGUUUCAUUCUUUGAUGUUUUUCAUUGUCCUUUUAAAUGCAGCAUCGUGGAGAGAGGCGAGGACUUGGCGGCAUAUUUUUUGAUGAUUUGAAUGAUUAUGAUCAAGAGAUGCUUCUUUCUUUUGCUACUGGUAAUUCAUUUUUUUUUUUUUUGUCAAAAUGAUAACAUUUGUAUUGAUUUAAACUUGAUAAUACAAGAGCACUUUACAAAAGGAGCUCAUUGCUACUGGUAAUUCAUACUUGUAGUAAUUGUAAGGAAUUGUUAACAUUGUGCCAUAUCACAUUUCCUGUCUUUGUGAUAUAUAAUGGAGCUUCUACACUGCUAAAGUUGGUAUAUCUCUCUGAGGCAUUAGAUCCCCAACUUCUCCAAAAAUCUUAGUGGUUCCCUUUGUUCGUAAGAGCUGAAUAUGUAUUUUGCUAACCAUCAUAUUCACCUAGCAACUGGACUUAUCAACCAGAGUAGGAGCAUUUUAGCCGGUCACUUUUCAGCAGUAUGCUUUAGCAAAAAUACUUUCUCAACUUUUAAACGUGGUAGAUGUUUGUAUUGUACCAAAAGAAAAGAUACCGAAGAACCUUAGAUUAGCACAGUAGAGAAAUACUGUGACCCAUUAAAAGUUUCUUCGGUGUUUAAAGUGAACUUGAAUCUGCCUUUUUUUUAUUAUUAUUAUCAAAUUGCAGAGUGUGCAAAUUCUGUGAUCCCUGCAUAUAUACCAAUAAUAGAGAAGAGGAAGGAUACACCAUACACAGAAAGAAACAAAGCAUGGCAACAACUACGAAGGGGGCGCUAUGUAGAAUUCAACCUGGUAUGAUAUCGGAGCCCCUUUGUUAUAGAAAUGCAUAGCCUGGCAACUCUUCUAAUUUUUCUUCUUUUGGGCCUAAACAUUGAAGGUUUAUGACCGUGGAACAACAUUUGGUCUCAAGACAGGAGGCAGAAUCGAGAGUAUUCUUGUUUCCCUUCCGCUAUCUGCUCGUUGGGAAUAUGACCAUGUAACCUUUUAUUCUACUUUCACUUUUUGCCUGUCUGUUGGUGGUAUAGAUAACACAGAGUUUUAAAACAAAAAGUAUUUCUAUCAAGUUUCUUAGACAUUGAUUAGGCACACGAGUCUGUCUGAUUAAAUUGUAUAGAUGCUGGGUGAGAACAUGUGAGACAUAUUUCAGUUGCCUGAUGAUUCUGUGAUGCGUAAGAUUUCUAUCUAGUAUUAGCCACUGCCAGUGGCGUGCCUAAAAGCUGCAAUGAAAGAGGUGAAAUGGCUUCAGAAUGACAUUAUUGUUUUCUGGAUUGCAGAAACCAGAAGAGGGGAGUGAAGAAUGGAAACUAUUGGAUGCAUGUAUCAACCCCAAGGAGUGGCUGUAACAAUUUUGUGAUGAUAGUAUUUUGACGUGGUGUUCCCUGUUCUGAUCUGGGUUUCGUGUUUGCCUAGGUUUGUCGCAUUACAAUAUGAGUCUGAAGCAUUGCGCCUAAUAAUGGGCUUGUGCUUCUUGUCAGGCUGUGGUUUACUUGAUCGAAAGUCGGAAGAGGAAGGUGCAUUUGUAAAUCUUACGGGUUAAAAAUUGGCUUCGUUUACUGGAGGCGAUAUUGUAAGUUGGAACUGUCUUAACAUGUAUAUACAUCGUGGUUAAUCAUGAAUAACCACAAUAUUCUAGGUGUGAGCAAAUGCCUGAAAGAACAUUGAAGCAGGCUCUCUCUUUUCAUAACUUGCAAGUUAAGAUUGCCUGAUUCUCGCAGUGUUGUGAAAUCUUUGUUCAUUUGAUCAUACAUAAUUUCCCCAACAAAUCAAAGGGUGCAAAGGUUUCUAAUUAUGUUGGCUGGUUCUCUCGUGAAAUGAUGAGGCUUUGGGCCAAGGAAUCAGGAGGAUGAUGAAUCUCUGUCAUCCCUUACUGACUUCUUUGACUGAUAUUUUAGCAGAUAACCAAAAAUUUGCCAACUCGUAAACUUGCACAUUUCUAAUGUAUGAUGUUUUAUCGGUAUGCAUAUACUCCAGUUGUAAUGAACUACUUUGACAGGCGAAUUAUAAAAAAAAAAAAAGAAUUUAUUUCCAUGAGUAAUAUUUUUUAUUUCACUGCUCAUUAAGAAACUAGGAGUCCAUCUGAAAGACAGCAGCAACUCGGCGAUAUGAUGCCCUCUGCUCCUAGCUGACAUAGGAAGUGUUUGGACAGUAGAUUAUUUGGAAUUAUUUUUACCUUACUAUUUAAGAUUGCGUAAAUUUGAAAAGGCGUUUGGAUAGUAAAUAAAUCGUGUAAAUUAGCGUUUGGACAGGUGCUCAUUAUUGAAUGCAAUCAGUUGACUUUGAUUUCGAAAAUUUUGACUUUGUAGUAAGUUUAGGCUAAACCAAUGCAUACUUAAUACAUAGACCGUACAGAUUAAUUUAGAAGUUGGAACAAAAAGUCAUUUUAAGUACACUCCAAACAUGGAUUGUCCUUUUACAGAUAAUUACAAAUCGGUUAAUUCGCUGAACGCCUAAUGGCGUCGUCGCCCACAUUUGAGUCGCUAUGUAGUUUCGUUUAGCCUUCCAUUCCGCCAGCUCUGCAGGAGAUACGUUCAAUGCGAAUGACUGAGGUACUGGCCCGUCUACUUCUGGCUCUUCAUUUAAGUACACGUCUUCUGAUUCGAACCGUUGAAAAUGAGCAUCUUCCGGUUGGUGCAUCCUUAAAAAGUUGUACAAUGCACAGCAAAUAAUGACUAUAGUUAUUUGAGUACUCAUGUAGAAAUUAUCCACCGGACCCUUUAAAAAUUUGAAUCUUUUCUUCAGUAUACCGAAUGUGCGCACAAUGACACUGCGAAGCUGCGAAUGUCGAGUAUUGAACAAGAUCUUUGCCGGAGAUUCGGAGCCCACGUUCUUAUACCGGGGCAUGAAGCCAGGAACAUUCCUAUAUGCUGCAUCAACUAAGUAGUAUUAGCCUAAUUGAAAAAGUUGGUACAAUUAAUAAACGUGAUAAAAAGCAGGAGUUUAGCAUUUAAAGCAUGACAUUUAUUGACUUGAAAAAUUGGGACCAUCAUUUACCAGGUUGCGGCAGUGAAAAAUCCGACGGAUAUGCUAAUGCUGACUCUAAUACUCACGCAUCAUGUGCAUUUCCCUCCCAUCUAGCAUAUACGUAGAUGAAGCGCAUGUCAUGGUCACACACUGCCAGAACAUUCUAUGAUUGAAACCUGUGCCGGUUUGUAUAUGUCAUGUGCUCGCCUGUCGGAGGACAAGCAUGGAUGUGGGUGCCAUCCAUCGCUCCUACGGCAUAAUAAUAUUCAUGCAAAACAUAUAAUCAUCUGUUUUGAAUUAACUUACUACAUCGAGCCAAAAAACACUCCUCUUUACACAUUAUCUUGAACCAUGGAUAAAAAUUAGUUGAGUUUGCAAUUCGUGGAUAAACUGCAGUCUGGUCACCCGGUCGUAUUAUUUCAGCUGCAAAUAGACACAGGCCUCGGAGCACCUUUUUUAUAUUUCAGUUAAUCGUCUCGAUGGAUCGAUAAAAAAUAGUCUCCAACACACGGUACGUAUGCUUGUGGCUCACCAACAUUAAAGUCAUAGCUAGCGCCUCCUGUAUGGACACACGCUGUUGGUAGUUGUGUGAAACGUACUAUCUCUGGACAAGGAUAUCAGACAGUUGCAAGAAAUUAUCAACCGUGAUACGUAUGUUGUCUAUUGAUCGUCUAUGAUGACCAUAGAGUAAUCGCUCCACCCACUGUCUAUCGGUGAAUGAGCCAUCAUGUUGCGGAAGUGGUUGAUUGUUGGUUACGUGUGCAAGAGAUGGAUGCAUUAACAUUAACGAGACACUCAUAAGAAGUAAGACCUCAUCUUCCUUAUCUUGCCUCAUACGGUCCGAAUUGCAUCCCCUAGCACCACGGCGGUUGUUUCAAACCAUGAUAACUGAGUAUAUAUCUGUAUAUAUUUUUACAUAACGGUGUUCAUGUGUGUAUAUCUAAUUUCAUAAAUUUAUUUAUAUACGUGUUUGUAUACAUAUAUAAAAUGUAUAUACUAGACAUAAAAUGUCUUUAACUUAAAGUAUGAAAUUGUACACAUAUGUCCCAUCAGAGUUUUCAUCAUCCUUUCACACCAAUUAUGAAAACGAGAGUAGCUUUAUGGAAUUAAAGAUACGUUAGCAAUAUGACUUUUAUAUCACAAGGAUGAUAAUUCAUUACUGUGACAAUCCUUUCCUACCAACCUCACCAAAGAAAAAUUUUUCUUUUUCUAAGAUUAUUAAUUAGCUUUCAAAAAGGUCAUAUUCUGAUUAACAUUUGAAGUGAAAUUCUUUCAAUUAAAUUUGAAAUAAUAUUCAAAUUUAAAAAGUGGGCCAGUAAUUGUUCUAUAUAAUUACUCAAAUAAUCUAUGCGCGGAAGGCUCUUUCUUUCUCCUUAAGUUUAGAAACUGAUUUAAGAAGAAUUUGUUCUCGAAAUAACCUCUUAACUAAAUUUAAGUACAUCCAAAAUUUUUUAAAAACAACUCUAUAAUUGUAUUAAAUUGUGCACGGGACAAUAGAGGCUAGAGAAUUUUAUAAAAUUUAUGUUGGGAGAGGGGCAGGGGAUGAGUUAUUUCAAGUCAGAUUGUUAAAAUUUCAGCAGGAUGACAUAGUACUCCAUUUCAGCACGUAAGCAAUAUGGAGCCCGUGAUGACAUCAGUUCAUCUUCUCAAUUUUACUUCUAGUUAAUUCUUAAAAGAUUUCUAGUCUAAUGCUAUAUCAUGCUUCUUCAUUUUCCAACCAAGUGGGUACAAACGUAUAGCCAAAUGGAAAAAUUCCAUUCAGAAAAGAUAAAUCAAUCCUUUAAUGAGCAAAUGAUGAGAGUUCUUUUUUUUCCUUUUCUCUUCUGUGAAAGUUAUUAGAAUUUAUUACUACUUUAGAUUGAACAUGCAAAAGACAACCCAAUUAAAAGUUUGAAUCGUACUACCUCAAAAAGAAAUAUCUCAAUAUGAAUAUCACUUUAACUUCUAACUUUCACUUUAAUUCGUAAUACCUCAAAAUGAAAUAUCACUUUGAACAUGAAAAUAUGAAUGACUUUUAUACGAUACAUGUAUAAUGCAUUAAAUGAGAUUACAAAUGGUUUCCAUAUAAGAACUAAAUAACCAGAGAAAUUGAAUUUAGAUUGCAAUAUUACAAAGAGACCGCUACUACUUACCUCGCUUCCACUGGCACACCACGUAGUUUACGGUUUGCCACACUCUUUGCCCACACAGGUACCACGUACAUAAUCAAUUGUAACACUACUUUGGGAGGAGAAAUGGCCGACUAUUCGUCUUGGUGUUUUGUCUCUGGUUUUCGUUCUUCCUUUGUGGAGUAGAGAAUUGGAGUGAAGUUCUUAUGGUAGUACGAUAUAUUUAUGGGGGUGGAUAGCUGAUCUGCAUUAGGAUGCAUUGGGGUUAUCGUACUACCAUAAGAACUUCCACCGCAAUUUUCACUUUAUGGUGGUAUGAUAUAUUUGGUCUACAGGCCUUAGGAUGCAGAUUAGCACAUGCAUUUUCGCAAUUUAUGGCCUCUGUAGCUGUGUAGGUGCUAGUACAUACCGGCAGACAUGACAAGUCCUUGAAUAUAGCAAGUGGAAACAUACAGUUGAUCGCAUUUCUACUUUUUCAGACUUCUAUUGGCCAGCAAAAGCAAAACUCACUAACGUACAAAACCUAUCUCUACCAUGCUUGGUAGGGAGUCUGGCCCCAUAGAACUAAUUAUUUGAGCAUCGUUUUGUAGUUCUUGAAGAAGUAUGCCAUUAUUGUCAUGCUCAAGCAUUACAUUUUACACUUGAACAGCCUCCCUGUGGGUAUAAGGAGUGUGUUUAAAUAGAAGAUUACUAGAGAAAAUUUCAUCGCGAGUACAGAAUUUUGAUAUCAUCGCGACUUUUACAUUAAUUUAAAACAAAUUUGUAUUUACAUAUCAAAAUUAUAUACUUUUAAAACAUUGAUAAAUGUUAAAACCUAUUACAUAACCCAACAAACUGAGGAGGUCCAUUUCCGCUUGAGGAAGUCAAACUGGUAGAGAGUUAUAAGGUUUGGUGCAUCGGACCACCACUUCAUGCCAUGGUUUGCCAUUAUCGAUAUAGAUAUGAGAAAGCUACGGCUGGUUGGUUGUUUGGUGACUUUGGUCCCUUCGGCUUCAAGUCCUAGCUACAAGUUGGCAGUAGCUACCAAAGCCAUUCCCUUACACUAGUGGAGGAAUCUCCACACACCUAUUAAGUUCAAUCAAAGACUUUCUUUAAAUCAUUUAUUAUUAGUGCUAAAAAACUGUCAUGAUCUAAAAGUCAUAAACAGAGAUGAGCUGAAAAAAAGAAAUAAAGGCACCUAAUUUCGUCCAUAAGGAAAUUUAUUGUGCUGCUUAGCUCUUAAUACUCGAAUAAGAAAUGGUCACAUCCCCUUUAUUAAGUACACUCGACAGCAUCUUUAACCCCUUCCUUUGGUAGAUCAAAGUGAAACGGAUCUGGGCUCCAAGACCUCUCGAAAAAACUCGUGGUAUAUUAUUAUCUGUGAAACCACCUCCUGUGAUGUGGGAACCUGUUAACAAGAAUUAAAAACAGACAGCUAAUCCAUGGUCAAUCACGUUCUAGAAGUACAGUCAUCCACAAUGUACUUUAAUAGUAGAAAAAAUCCACAAUUGGCAUGCCACAGAACGUGUUCUUAAGCCAAGCCUUUCUCCUUCAUCAACUUAAGGAUGUAGCCGUAGUGGUCUGUUGCAAAAACCCUAAGGAAAAUAAUCCUUUCACCCUCUCUGUCACUAUUGGCAUAAUGACAGUUAGCAUGUAUUCUCCAAAGGUCCGGAAUCUCCAUUGUGUUGAUCACAUCUUGGCACUGCAUUACAUUGUAGAGGGACUCGAACUCCAUCCUACUCCGUCUGUUAUCAAGUACGAAAUCGAAGUAAUUUCCAAUCUUGCUUAUAGCGUCCUCGAGACCAGUAGAUGACCGUGUCGAUUUUGACCCUCUAGUCCCCUCCGGUUCACCGUUGGUUCCUAGGCUUGAGGCUGAUUGUUUUCCUCCAACUGCCCCAAGAACUGGGGAAACAUAGUACACGUCAUCGUCAUCCCCUUAGACUGGUAUGUUCGCCGGAGUAGGAGCCCUCGAGUUAGAGGCUUUACCUUUUCCCUUCCAACUUUUAGCAUAAGUGUUGUCUCUUUCACGGCUAGGUGGUUCCGAUGGAACUACCUUGCUUGUAGACUAGGCACGGCUGCCUGUUGCAUGUCUUCCAAGCAAUAUUGGUGUCAACCGAUCGUACCAGUAGCAUGAAUUCUCUUUUUUGAAUUCAGCGUACGAGGCAAUAGUCUAAUGAAAUGCAAAUCUGAAGUCAGCACCAAGGAAAGAGGCUCUGACUACUACUUAACUACUGAAAUAGAAGAUAUUAGAAGCAGUAGAGAUGCAUUUCAAUAGUAUGAGUCUUGGAACAGAAAUUUCCUUAUGAAUAUUUUUCACCGAAAGAAAAAGUGGUUGGCUAGAAUUUGGAAAAUAUAGAAGGCCCUAGAUCAUAAACAGUUAUCUAGACAAAUAUUGGAGAAGGAACCAAGCUCGGCAGGAGCUAGAUGCAAUACUAAAGUAAGAAGAUUUAUUUUGGGACCAAAAGUCAAAAAGUGUCCUGGCUACAGCAUUCUUUCACAACACCUGAUUUUUCCUCUUGUUUGGAGUGAUAAGAAGGAGAAGAAAUAUAUUGCAAAACUUUAAAUACGUUAAUUGCACUUGAAGCAUCCUAAAUAGUUCUCAAUUUGAAUCCAAGUAAUAUUUUGCAUAAAAUAGCAUGCAAAAGGGACUACUGUGAUAAGUGACUAAUUUACGUAAUAAUUGUAUGACAUUUUAUAUUAUUUUUAGUCACUUUGGUUAUAUUAUUGGAAGAAUAUGAAUCAUUUUGGCUAUAAUUGGUGAAAAAUGCUUUUAAGUGAUUAAAUGAGAUUUUUAUCACUUUUUACUUGGAUUUUGUGUAUUUUGACAGUUUUGACACAUUUUCGUAUUUCGGCUAUAACUUGAGUUACAAUGAUCGGAUUGGGAUGAUUCUUGAACCCAUUUGAAGAUAAGAGAUAGAUCUACAACUUUGGUGAAGACAUCCGAAUCCAGUUUGAAGGUUUUAAAAAUCAAAAAGCCGAAUUACAUUAGCUAAUUUCUGUUGGUCGAAGCUGAAACAGGGCAAUAAGCAGACAAGGGUAUUUCAGUCAUAUCUCAGCCUACACAGAUCCAAAUGAGGUGAUUCUUGAUGCAUUGGAAAGAUAACUCAAAAGGCUACAACUUUCAUGUUUUACACAUGAGCUGGUUCAGCCUCUAACAUCAAGAAAAGAUCGGUUGAAGUUGGGCCAAAAACAGAGCAAGUGAUCCACACUCGGAUCCACUAUUCAUCCGAACGCUCGGCUGUUUCUGGGUUAGUGGAUCCGAGCUCGGAUCCAUACGGAUCCGAGGCACUGUAGCAGCUCGGAUCACUGGUCAGAAAAGGCUGCUUUAUACGCGUAAAACUCAAUUUCACCUCCACCAACUCACAUGGGAUGCUAGACAUGUGAGAAACAUUCCCAGCUGUAAAAGGGAGUUGAAAACAUCAUUUCUUGACCAACCUUUCAUCAUUAAAUAGCCAAAUUCAUUGCAAAAUGAAAAGAGGGAGAUGAUAGAGUAAGAGAUAGAGAGACAUACGGGAGAAGCUUGGAGUCUGCAGAAAUGUAGCUCUUUCAUCUUCCUAGUAUUAGUUUAGCUUAGUAUAGAGUAGUAUAGUUCAACCAUUCUUGUUUAUUAUCUAGAUUAGGAUGAAGAUGGAGGAUGAAGAAGGCAAGGAAGAAAGCUCAUGUGACAAGGGUUGUAUUCCUUCCAAACUCUUUAUCUUUUGUAUUUGAUUCCAAGUUUAGUUAAUAUACAAGUUCUGGAUUUCGUGUGUAAUAUGUGUUUUUAAAGUUUAAGCCUUGGGUUUGGUUGAACUUUCUAUGAUUGUUAGUGUUUAUUAUUUGGUUAUUUGAUUGCUAUGAUUUGAGCAAGUUAUUUAGCACUUUGGCUUCUUAAAUCAUGAUUAAUCUGGUACCAUUAAUUGUGAUUAUCUAAGAUGUUGUUUCUGCAAUGAAAAUUGAGAUUUAACACUAGUUCAAGAAGUGCUAAACAUAGGGAGUACACUCACGAAAGUAGAGGUGCACUUAUGUGGUUUUUAGUGAUUCAUUUCAUGUAAUUUCAUUGAAGAAAUGAACUUGUAGCUAAUUUCAUAACCAUGAAAAUAGGUAUGGAUUAGUUAUGAGUAUAGUUGGUUCACUACGAAAGUAGGUUUCACAUGUUUAAGGAAAUUACACCAUAAUUAGCUUAGAUGUAGUACUCAAUGAUCUAAAUAUAGCACUUGCAUGAGUAGUUAGGGAUACCACAACCUAAGGAGCUUUUAUUUGUUAUUUUGUAUAAUUUUAGUAGGUUAAAUUUGUUAUAAUUCAUUGAUAGUCUAAAUAAUAGAGAAGCUUUAAUAAUACCGGUAAUUGUUCACUCUUCCCUGUGGGAUCGACCCGAUAUAUACCCUAAACUACUAGUUGAUCUGUAUACUUGCAGUGAACGGGUGUAAUUCGGUUUUUUAACUUGUACGUAUGUAAAAUACCCGUCAUACUGCAUCCACUUCAUGCAUUGAUUCCUAAAGUUUACAGCCUAGAGGCAUAAUGACAUUGCGGCCCAUACCCCUAUGUAACGUGAACUAUAAAGUGGUCACCAAAAUCAGGUCAAGAAACAAAGGGCAGUGCUGAAUUUUCUAGUAGGACAAGUGCAAGCUAGCUUUAUCAUGAGGCAGAUAUAAGUUUAAAUGUAAGCAUCCCACACAAGCUACUGCACUCAAUGAGGACAAUGAAAAGGAAAAAAGGGAACAAUACUGAAUUUUCUAGUGGGAUCAUGGGGCAGAUACAAGUUUAAAUGUAAGCAUCCCACACAAGCUACUGCACUCAAUGAGGACAAUGAAAAGGAAAAAAGGGAACAAUAAAAGUUAAGAAGUUUUAAAAGGCAUAUAUAAAAUGCAGUAUUAAAAGGCACUUCAGAGAUAGCAGAAAUCCAAACUGUGGCUGCCGAAAAUCAAUUAACAGAAGUGAGGGCAGCGACAAGUCCAUACCUGUACCUAGUUGACCCAAUGUUUAUCAUCAGCAGUGAAGUAGUAGCUGUCCUCACUCCACCCAAUCCCGGUCUCUGAUUUUGAUGAUAUCCCAUGCAGAUUACAGAACAAGUCCCAUUUCUUCUUGAUGUGAUAGAAUCUGGUAUGCAAUUGCUGGCCAGUGACAGUCAUUAUGCCAUUACUCGCCAAAAGGUCUGCCAAUAUGUCGUAGUUUGUCUCUAGCGACUUCUUGUUGUCCAACCAGUUAUUUUCCCUAAAGCUAACAUAGGCUGUGUGGAAAGUUUUGGCCAUUGCAUCGGUCCAUUAAAUCCUAGAAGUCAUUUGCUAAGUUUGAUGAAAAAAACAAUUAGCGCUGGACGAAGAUUACAAAAAUUGUUUGAAGUGCUUUGGAAAAAGAAAUGGACAAUUAAUAGAGAAAGCAAAAACGGAUCAAGAAGGAACUCAACGAAUUCACUUGCCUCAACGCAGAUGGAAAGGCAGUCGAUGUAGUUGUUGGAGACCGUUGAUGAACGGGAGGAGCAAUCGGAUGAACAGCUAACAGGUGAGCCUUCAAAAUUCGAACAAUAAGUAGUAAGAUUUAAUUAAUAUGCUGCGAAAAUUCCUUUCUAAUACAGAUACACAUGGAAGAAGGACAUACAAUCGCAAGAAGGCUUCUUCCUCUUCUCAGCGAUCAUAACCGAAGAGAGAACAGCCUCAUAACCAAGUAAUGGUAGCAGUUGGACAGUAAAAUUAUUUAGUCAUCAGAAAAAAUAUGCAUCCAAACAGCAUCUGGGAGUUUGCAUCCAAACAAUCCCAGCAUGUUAGCCACAAAUUCCAGUGUGAAACAAAAUAAAUCUUGCGUCUGACCAUUCUGGAAAUUACUAGACACAAAUAAUAAAGGUUUUUAACUCCAAAGAACAAGAUAAUAAUUCUGCCCUUUGACAUGUAUCUGAUCUCAUCAAAUGAGAUUUAAAACAGACAAAAAAGUUAAUGCAAGUAUAUAUUCAUGAACUGUGCAGGCUGUGGUAAGCACUUUCUCAGAGAUGGUUAUCCAUGUAAAUAUCUGUGAUUAUUAUAUUAGAUGGGAGAUGCAUUCAUAAAGAAAAGACUACCUUUACACCCUACAAGACACCAACAAAAAGGCAUACUUCCUUAUCAAAACCUUCCACAUGAGCAACAUGACAUAUAUAAUCUGGCUUUUUCCAUGGCAGUUUCUUUAUAGUUUCUACUUUCUACUACAAAACUAAUGUUGGUGAAACUGGCCAUAUCACCAUCAUCAUUACUAUCUCCAAUUUAAGCAAGCCAUCAUUUUUCAUUAUCUAGUGAAUUUGCUGUGAACCACUUAAAUCGUUUGGUUAAAUAAUUUCCAUUAAAAGAUCUACUUGCUAUCAAGAUUCUAUUAAAAGAUUGAGAGGUAAAUAGUUCCUUUUCUACACAACAAUAUAUUCGUCAAUUUUUUCUUCAUGAUUUCUGCUCAAUUAAUCAUUACUAUUACCAAGAAACAAAAAUAUAGUGCGGGAAAUUUUUCCAAAUUCUAUACAAGUAAAACUUUAUUAAACAAUUCAUGUCCAACAUUAAUUUACGUUCAAGAAUAAAUUUUACUACAUUUCUUUUUGUUUUUAGGGGCGAUGAAGAACAAUAAUCUGUAUUCUACUUCAAAGUGAAAUAGUUCAAAGCAAAAUUAACUUCUAAUAUCCUUAUCCUCCUAAUAAAUUCAGGUCAAAUUUUGUUUUCCCCAAUUUAAUUUUGUCCAUCCAUGAUCAGAAAAAAGGCACAAAAAGGAAUAAAUUCCCUAUAUGCAUUUUACUACUAUUAUAUAAAUUCCGAUAGCAAUCCACAAUUAGAAAAACUGUUUUAAUGCUCAUUCCCUCCCAAUUUGGAACGCUAAAGCAGCUUUAUUCCACAAUUCCAUUCAUAUUCGUGUUCAAUUAAAACUGAAAAAAUUAAUCUAGCUAAAAAAAUCUCUACUCUUCACACACACCCAACACAAAAUUAGGUGUGAAUGGAAGACAAUCAGCUGAUAAAUCUGUGGAGAACUAGAAAGAGAGAUCAACGCAGGAGGAGGAAUUUAAAUUGCAACUGAUGGUAAAUCGAGGGAACAUACCUGCCGCUGUAGAUAUGGAGAAAGAGGGAUGUUCUCGAACCAACUUCCACUGGAGUGUUGGAAAUUGUAACCGCGGCUAGACGAAUGCGGGCUAGAAAUUCAAAUCACAGCUAAACUGGUUGUUUGUCGGAUCUGAUUGCACGCUGGAUCUGAUUGCAGCUCUCUUUGCCGGUGGGAGUUAGAUGAAAAUGGCGAAUAUGGACAAGUACAGAGGAGCACAUGAAACCUGUCGUGCUCUAUUAAGGAGUAAAUGGCUUUACUCCAGACUAACGGUUACUUUAUUGCAUGCCUUUGAAAAAUUGUUGCCACGUCAGACGUAUUUGAAGUGUAGUAUGACUUUAGUGCAAAAGACUGUAGCACAUAGGAAUCCAAUGUCGAUUAAAUGCAGAUGAAAAACCUCACUUUUAUCUUAUACAGUCCAAAUGGUAAUUUCCUAAAUAGUGAAAUAACCAACCAAUUCUGCAUUCCAAACAAUUCCAUAGCUAUAUAGUGCAUGGCAAAUGCCCGAGAUGAAAAGUUUUGCUAUAUAGUGUAGGACCACUGUUCUGUUCAGUUGUGUCAACAGAACAUAUUUGUAUUUUUUUAUAGAUGGCAAACAAACUGAUUUAGUUAAAUUUAUUCAUACCCGCCCAAAAUAUAUGCGUAUGGGUAUUUUAAAUUUUUAUAUAUGGGUAUAAAUGGAUUACCCAAUAAUACUCAUUUAUAGUAUUUAAAUUGUACUAUAAUGCCCAUUCAAAUCCAAUUAAUCCAUUUAAAAUUAUCUUCUCCCAACCCUCAUCUCUUCUCUCACACAUUUUUUUUCAGAUUUUUCAUUUUUUCAUAAUAUUAACUACUUUUGUUUCAUUAUUAUUAUUAUUUGUUGGUUUUAUCUUGUCAUUUUAUUUUCUCUUAGUUCGUUAAAUUGCUCUUUUUUAGCAUUACCAAUUUAUGACUAAGUUUUAGUCUCUUUUCCUACUUUUUUAAAAUGAAAUUUAAAUUUAUACACGAAAAAAAUGUUAGGGGUUCAAAUUUUUGGAUUAAGUUUUUAUGUUAAUUUUUAUAGUACUUAAUUAAAAAUUUUACAUUCUUAUUGUUCAAUUAUUAAAUAGUAUAUAAUUUUAAUUACCAAUUAUUAAAAUUGAUAAUUAGGUUUAUUGAACAUUACAAGUACGAAUGGGAUAACUUAGUUUGCAAAAAUGAAUUUAAAUGAGUUUACAAAAAGUUAAAAUAAAUAGGUUAUAAAUGUGUAAUUGGAUUACCCAAUUCAUUUUUCGAUUUAUCCAUUUAUACCCAUCUAAUUAAAUGAGUAUAAAUAGGUUAACUCAUUUAUACUCAUUAUCCAAUUUAUUCAAUUCAAACCCGUUCAAGUCAUCCAUUUUGCCACAUCUAGUAUUUUUUAUGCUUUACGCUUAUUUUUCAUUAUCUUUGUCGUAUUUUAUCUUUUCCUUUCAUUGGUAAUAAUGCAUAUCUUUUUCUUACCUUUUGAUUUCAAAGCUGCUUCUAAGUAUUAAGUUUAUCGAUAUUGCUUGUUUGAUCCAUCCUAAAUUUCAACUCUUACACCCUAAACUUAAACAUAGAAAAUCAAGAUAUAUAUACCAUUUGUUUGCUUAACUAUUACAACUAAAAAUCUGUUGUAAAACUAAUAAACUAUUAUAGUAUAAAUGGAGAUAUUAGAGAAAUGAGUAGAGAAAUGGAGAAUGAUAUUCUUAUAUUUCAACAAAUACCAAAGUCUUUCCCAAAGGGUGUCAAUGUACCUCUAUAUAUAGGUACUACAAGAUUAAAAGUACAUUAAUCCUAUUAAACACCCACUACUACAAGAAUAUAUAGAAACUUAUUAAACGGUUCUUCCACUACAUGAACAGAUUUAUGGAUUGUAACUUCUAUACAUAAUGUAGCCAUAAAUCAAGAAUUAAUUCUCUUGGAAAUACAAAGGGACAUCCAUACUUUUAAUUGUUUCAUAACACUCCCCCUUGGAUGUCCAUUAUACAAAAAAUAUGCCUCGUUAAAACCUUACCAGGGAAAAAUUCAUCGGGACAAAAACCCUAGUGAAGGAAAAAGAGUACACUAUUCUUGUGUAUUAAUUUCUCCCCCUGAUGCAAACAUUAUUUGAGAUCUUUUAAUCGUUGCAUUCCAAUAUUUUUCGCCAAUUGCACUGAGAUAUGUUACUUCAGGACCAAGUAUCUCUUCAUCUUCCUCUUGCGAUCUAAAAGGAUCCUUUUUCGGAUCUAAUGAUCUGACGACCAUUGAAAUACUUAAUUUAUGUGCUUUAUCCAUAUAAAAUCGCUUUAAUACCUUCCGAGUAUAUGCAGUUUGGUGGAUAAAAAUUUCACUUUUCAAAUGCUUAAUUUGUAAAUCAAUGCAGAAUUUUGUCUUUCCAAAAUUUUUGAUCUCAAAUUAUUUCUUCAAAUAUUCAACACUAUUUUGAAUCUCUUCAGGAGUUCCAAUCAAAUUUAGAUCAUCAACAUAUACAGCAAUUAUCACCAAAAUUUGAUCCAUUUUUCUUGAUAAAAACACAUGAACGUAUUGGAUCAUUGGUAUCCAAAUAUUUGUGAAAAUUCUUGGGCUACUUGCUUUAUACCUUCAGAUGUUUGGAAUACAAGUCCAAAAACUUUUCUUUUAACCAAUAAAUUCAAUUCAGAUUGGAUCGUAUCUUUCCACUUUGAACAAUCAUUUUUAUACCGACAUUCAUCAACCGAUAUAGAUUCAUGAUUCUCAUCAACUUCUAUAAUAUCAAGUGCUACAUUUCAUUAUGUUCCAAUUAAAUUUUUUAUGAUUUCAUUCUCUUCAGGAGUUGGCUCUUCAGGAGCGACCUCUUCAAGAGAUUGAAUUUUAUCAUGAUAUUUAUUUAAUCUCCGGAGAUAUUUGAAAUCAAUUUAUGCCUUAUUUAGAUAGGCCGGUUUUAAAUUUAUUUAUAGCACUUGUGAAUGUCCUUCAGGGACAUCAAUUUUAACCAGAGUAUUUCCUGCAGGAAUAGUUGAUUUAAUGACUUUUCUGGAGUUGAUAAAUAUAAUUUUCUACAAAUGAAGAAGUUCUUGAACUUCUAGUUCACAUUAUUUUGUAUGAGGAUCGAGAAAAUUCAAUUUUUCAAGUGAUUUCCUUUCGAUUGAUUUUUUUCUCUCCCUAAUGUCGGGAAUCGUGGCUCAUCAGAAUAAAUAAAUCAUUCAAUAGAUCACCUAUCAAUAUUUUAUAAUAUUUAAUCAUAAAAAGUGAUUCAUACCCGACAUAAAUUUUAAAUUUCUUUUGGAGCCAUAUAUAAUAUAAAGGAAUAUAUAUAAAUACUUGUCGGCUCUUAAAUAUUCUCACUUUUGUCAAAUCAUAUAUCCAUUAGGAUCAGUAAACUUCUGGUUUACUGCAGGUGAUAAUUAUAAAUCAAAUGAAAAUUAAGACAACUAUAUCGAUAACCAUUUCUCUAACCAUUUCUCUCUCGAAUGGUUAUUAUGAUAUAAUUAACCUUUAUCUCAUUUGAUUUUUAAACAUGACCUUUAUCAUUGUUUCAUUUAGUGUCUCAAUUUGAUAUCCAUUUUGACGGAUAUUCAAAUUCAAUAAUUCUUUCGAGACAUGGUAAAAAUUAGUGCUUUAUUUAUGAUAAACUUUUCUCCUACAAGGAGAAAUAUAGCAGUGGCUCUUCCGAAACUUUCAAUCACUUAAGCACUACUCUUUUGUUGGAAAAUAGUGUAUAUAGUAGCACUUAUUAAUGAGACACAUAUCGUUGUAACCAUAAUUCUUAUGGGACAAAUAUUAUCACCAUAAUCCUUUGAUCCCAAAUAUUUAACAUCCAUUUCUUCUUCAAGGAGAAAAGUCAAUUACUGUCAUAAAUUAAAUCAAUCAUCAUACACCUUCAGGACGUUUAAAGAAAUUGGUCAUGUGAAAAUGCUAUUAUAAUUUUGAUUCGUCAAAUGUACUUCGGGACAUUUAUCUUUAGGACCUUUAUUUUCUUGUCCUUAUCAGUAUUAUCCCACUUCAAGUGGUAACUUUUUCUCUUGUUAUGGUAAAAUACAUAUUUACCAAAAUCAUAGUCAUGACAUUAACCAUAACUAGUAAAUUGAAAUUUAAUCACAUUCACUUCUGGGAAUGGACUAGAAUUAGCAUGCAAUAAGUACAAAACACUUCUCAAAAUUUCUCUUAAUAUUGCUACUACAGGAACAUAUUAGAGAAAUCAAUUGUGGAGAAUAUCAUUUUCAAUAUAUCUUAUGAGUAAAAUUUUCUCGACACAAUUUCAACUGAGAAGUAAUUCUGAAAAUUACAGAAUUAUGUUCUUGUAGCCAUAGGUAAAUUUAUCAUAUCAAGUUUUUGAAAUAAUGAUCAUCUUCUAGUGGCCAAAUAUUUUCGUUAAAGAACGAUCAUCUUCAGAUGGUCGAAUCUUUUUCUUUAAAUAUUUCAAAGGACAAGUAGAUCCUCAAAUAUAAUUGAUUUUCUAUAAUAGCAUCUCCAAAACUCAAUGUAUCAGAAUAUAAGUAUCUAUAACGAAUAAUUCUAAAUGUAAAUAAGUAGAAUUAAAAGAAGAAAUAUUACCUCAAAGGUGUCAAACAGUAUAUGUUUGUGUUUAGUGAUUGCUCAGCAAUAGAACUUGUAUUUUUUGCGAUAAUUCAAAUAUUAGCCAUAAGAAAUUGAAAUAAGUUUGUGAGUUAGAAAUUUACCUCAGAAUUUAUUUGAAGAAAUGCGAGCAGAAUUUCGGCAAAAUCUUGUGUUUCACUUUUGUUCAAGGUAGAGCCUCUGUUUUCACCUUUUGCUCAAAAAUAGAGACUCGUGCUGAUAACGUAUUGUAAAAUUAAUAAACUAUUAUAGUAUAAAUGGAGAUAUUAGAGAAAUGAGUUGAGAAAUGGAGAAUGAUAUUCUUAUAUUUCAACAAAUACCAAAGUCUUUCCCAAAAGGUGUUAAUGUACCUCUAUAUAUAGAUACUACAAGAUUAAAGGUACAUUAAUCCUAUUAAACACCCACUACUACAAGAAUAUGAAGAAACCUAUGAAACGGUUCUUCCACUACAUGAAUAGAUUUAUGAAUUGUAACUUCUAUACAUAAUGUAGCCAUAAAUCAAGAAUUAAUCCUCUUGGAAAUACAAAGGGACAUCCAUACUUUUAAUUGUUUCAUAACAAAAUCAUUAUUUUGAUCAAUACAUACACCUACAAAUAAUUAGAGGGAAAAUCAAUUUUCCUUGUCACAAACACUAACUUGUAUCAAACAAUUAUCAAGUCUACUAAAUUCAGUACAAAAAUAACAUAGCAUGUAAAUAUAGUCACUUGUCUUUUCAAAUGGCAAUUUCUAUUCAUACACAACAUCUUAGCCAACUAUUGAACCAAUAAAUUGCAUCAACUACAAUAUAAUUUUCAAAGUGGCACAAUAAUUCACACACUUAUUCAUUCAAGCACACAAUUCAAGUGGAUCAAUUACAAUCAUAAUGACAUUUAAUCAACAAAUGGCAUGCAUCAAGUGGGAAUAUAGAGUUACCUUGUACCUUAGUAACAAAGUAAAAUUUAUGAACGAGAUUUCUCCAUACUUCACCUGUUUGCAAUAGCAAGUACAAAGGAUUAUUCACAAUUUUGAUUGUUGAAUGGAAGCUAUAUAGUCCAUAGACCAAAAAGUAAGAGCAAAUUUGAGUAUACCUCUACAAACCUAACUCUAAUAUUAUGCAAUAGAGCCAUUUGAAUCCAUAAUUUUGUAUCUUAACAACAGCCAUUAUUGUAACCUACUUUACAAAUUGAUAAGCAAAUGUUGAAGCAGAUGGGAGGUCCUGCAGUUAAUCACCCCAAAUGAUUCUUCACCUUUCACACUUUAAUGGCCUCAUCAACGUGCUGCAAUUACUAAUUAAAUAAGUGCCAUUUGUUGUAAGAACUGAAUUAAUGGUUGUUGAGCUUUGAAGGUUGAAGAAGACGGAGCUUUCUACCACUAAAAUUCAAGCAUUUAUUUUUAACUUUAGCGCACUAAUAUUGCCUUAAAUGCAUUUAAUUUGUAUAAUCAAUUUAGCUUAACAUACUUGAGGGGAGUUGAUUUCAUUUUUCUACCACUUUGCUAAAUCAAUGGAAAAGCAGCCAAAUCAUUAGCCAUCAAAGGGUACAGUAGGUAAACCAUGUGAAAUUAGUCAGCAGAAAUUUGUCCAAUUUGCUUAAUCAAUGGAAUUACAGUUUUAUUAUUUCCAAAAUGCCCCUACAAACGUAGGAUGAAAGUCACCCAAGAGUCAUACAACAACUCUUAUGUGGAUCCAAGUCUUUAACUCACUAGUCAAUGAAAGAUUAAAAGCACUUAAUGGUUUAUGCUUUGUGACUUGCAUUACACAAUCUUGAGGAUACGUUAUGGUUGAUGGCUAAGUGACUUGUGGAGUUGCGUGUUUUCAAAAUGAAGCAAUUAAUUUCAGCAAUUAAAUCCAAUUUGUAACAAUGUCAUUUUAUACAAAUGGCCAAAUAGAAUAGUAGAAUAAGGAGUAAGUGGGACGAUGUCGUAGCAAGAAAAUAACAGAUUCAGUUGAGUUAAUUCAGUCAGUUAAUUCAUCAUAUUUGUAAGAGAAUGAUUGGUUGAGAAGGGAAUCCUAAGGAAUAACAGAUUUUGCUUUCUUUCUCUUUCUCUCUCUAUCUCUUUCUCUUAUUUUCUCAUUCUUCCUUUUUCCUCUCGUCUGCACUUCUCUUUCCUAAUUAUGAAUUCUUAAUCUGAACCAAUUCAUCAGUUAGGUUUUCAAAAUUGAAGUCAGUAGCCUGACAAUUGGUAUCAGAGCUGGUUGAAUCCUUGGAAAAGGUCGAAUUCUAUGGCGGAAGCACCAGAUUCAAGACAUUGGAGGAGCAAAUCAGGAAGCAAGAAAUCAAGCUCCAAGAGGUAAUGGAAGGUCUGCAAACUUCACAAUUGCAGCAACAGCAAAUGCGGAAUGAGUUCCGAACAGAGCUAGAAGAAAGCAACAAGAGGAUGGAAGGUUUGGUAGCUGAAAUGAAGCAAGAGUUCAGUAUCUUCAUGAGAGUAAUUAUGAGCAAAGAAAAGGCUGUUCUAGAAGAAGUUAGGGAGAGAAUUGAACAAGCACCACUCUUACCAACUCUUCCACUAAAUCAGAGACUACAGAUUGGAUCAGAAAACAAAAAGACAACAAGGAAAGAAGCAGGUAAGAUUCUGAUGCCAAAUCCUCCAAAAAUCGAUCUGCCUUUGUUUAUUGGUAAGAAUCCAAGGGAGUGGAUCCGAAAAUGCAAUAAAUACUAUUUAAAUUACCAAAUUCCUGAAGAUCAGAAAGUGAAAGUCAUAGAAAUAUAUUUGGAAAGGAAAGCAGACAACUGGUUUCAAUGAGUUAAACUGAAAAAACUAGGGAUAACUUGGAGAAUAUUUGAAGAACUGCUAUAUAAGAGAUUUGAUAACAGAAAUGGGAAGGACGUGGUGGAAGAAUUCAACAAACUGCAACAAGCUAGAAAAGUGGAAGAGUACCAAGAGAAGUUUGAAGAGCUCAAAACCCUUAUGAUGAUUAAGAAAUCACAUCUAGAUGAGGAGUAUUUUGUAUCUAGCUUUAUUAGUGGGCUCAGGGACGAAAUCACAACCAUGAUAAGGAUGUUAAGGACUACAACCUUGUCGGAGGCCUUUGACAUGGUUAUAUUGCAAGAAGACACAUUGAGGCUUCAAAGAAAGAUCUCCAAGGAGAGUUGAAAAACUGUGCUUGAAAAUAAAUUUGGAAUUUCCAGGAAUUCUUCCCAACAUUAGAUCCACUGCUCACACUAUAAAAUGCCUUCUACUAGUACAUUCAAGAACACUCCAUUCAAAGGCAAACCAAUUUCUACUACAACUGCUGAACCUAAGAAGAUCUCAACUCAAGAGUUACAGUAUAGAAGAAAUAAUGAACUUUGUUUCAGGUGUGAGGGAAAAUUUGGACAGGGUCAUCAAUGCAAAUCUGGUCACUUAAACUUUCUGAUCACUGAUGAAGAGAAGGAUUCUGAGUUUGAAGAUGCAUUAGGGGAACAAGAUAAGUCUACAGGGAAUCUAGGAUAAGUCAUAGAUGUCUCUACAUGAAUUAACAGAGGCUAUAAAGAGGAAAAUAAUAACACUAAUAGGGAGUUAGAUGGGAAAGAGAAGUUAAUCUUAGUUGAUACUAGGAGUUCAGAUAGUUAUAUCAGCAGUGAAAAGGUAAUUGUUUUUGACAUUCCAUAUUGACUAGUUGAUUCUUUUUCUGUAAUUGUUGGAAAUAGAGCCUGUGUAACCAGUAAAGCCAUCUGUCCCAAGGUAGUGUGGGAAAUUAACCAACAUAAGUUAUGUUAUGACCUCAAGAUGAUGGAUUUAAGUGGUUGGGAUAUCAUAUUAGGGGUAGACUAGAUGAUUCAAUUUAGUCCUAUUACUUUUGACUUCCAUCAGUUGACUAUCUCCCUGCAUAAUCAAGGAGAAGUGGCAUAAUUGAGGGGACAAGUAGAAAAUUGUGAUUUGGAUCUUAUUAGAGGUAGUGACCUAAGAAAUUUUAUUAAAUAUAAGAAAUGGAUGUGCUUAGCCAUAAGAAUGGGAUAGGAUAAUCCAUCAAAGGAGUAUGUUAUGCCUACUGAAGUUCAAGAGAUCAUUGAGGAGUUUGCUGAUGUAUUUGAGACUCCUACUGAGUUACCCUCUACUAGGGAGAUAGAUCAUGAAAUCCGCUUGAAACUUGGAUCCCAAGCUUUUAAAAUAAAGCCACAUAGGUAUCCUCAUUCCCAGAAAGGUGAAAUAGAAAAGCAAGUGAAAGACAAGCUGUAGCAUGGGAUAAUCAUUCAUAGCAAUAGUCCUUUUGUUUUACCGGUACUGCUAUUUAAGAAGAAUGAAGGGACAUGGCAUUUCUGUGUGGGCUACAGAUGGUUGAAUGAGAUAACUAUUAAGGACAGAUAUCCUAUUCCAAAUGUCGAUGAAUUGAUCAAUGAAUUGGCAGGAUCAAGGUAUAAAACCAAGCUGGAUCUCACUUCUGGCUACCACCAGUUCAGAGUUAAAUCCAAUGAUACUUAUAAGAUUGCUUUCCAGACUCAUUGUGGCCACUAUAAAUUUCUAGUGAUGCCUUUUGGGCUGGCCAACGCACUAGCAACAUUUCAAUCUCUUAUGAAUAAGGUAUUUCAGUUAUACUUGAGGGAAUUCAUAUCGAUUUUCUUUGACGAUAUCUUGAUUUAUAACUCUACACUAGAGUUACGUUUAGAUCAUUCGAAGACAGUACUGUCUGUCCUGAGAAAACACAACUAUUUGUGAAGAAAUCUAAAUGUUCAUUUGCACAACAAACUGUGGAUUAUCUUGGCCACACCAUAACCGAAAAUGGAGUAUCCAUAGACCAGUCCAAAGUUGAAAGUAUCAUGAACUGGCCCAUUCUCAGGACAAUAAAAGAGUUGAAAGGUUUUUUGGGAUUGACUGGUUAUUAUAGAAGGUUUAUCAAGCAUUAAGGAAUCAUUUGUAAACCACUCACUGAGUUGCUUAAGAAGGAUAACUUUUCUUGAAACUAUGAAGCACAGGAGGCCUUCACUUCAUUAAAACACAUCAUGUGCAAGGCUCUUGUCCUUAAACUGUCAAAUUUUCAAAAAACCUUUAGUAUUGAGACUGAUUCUAGUGGAGGUGGAAUUGGCACAGUACUAAUGCAAGAGGGUUAUCUCAUAUCUUUCUUAAGUAAGGCAUUGUCAUCCAAAAAUUUGGGAUUGUCAGUUUAUGAAAAAAAGCUGCUAGCACUGGUAAAUGGUAAUGGCAUUGAUUAAGUGGAGACAUUAUCUAGUAAGGUAUCAUUUUGUUAUUAAAAUUGAUCAUCAGUCCUUGAAGUACUUGCUAGACUAGAAACUCACUACUACGUUGCAACACAAAUGAUUGGCUAAAUUGCUAGGACUGGAUUAUAAGAUUCAGUAUAAAAGGGGAAUAGAAAACAAAGUAGCAGAUGCAUUGUCUAGACUGCAUGAAAAUAAUCUAGGCCAGGCAACUCAGCUAGGAUCAUGCUUAGCUCUUUCAACUGUUAAGCCAUUGUGGAUGCAAGAACUUCAAGGGAGUUAUGAUUCAAACCCUCAGUGCCAGUACAUCAUUUCCCAACUAAUACCAGAUCCUGCUGCUCAACCACAGUAGGAAUGGGACAAUGGAUUACUAAAGUAUAAUGGCAAACUUUAUGUGGGUUGAGAGAUAAGCUAAUCCAGGCUCUUCAUGCAUCUGCAAUGGGAGGUCACUCUGGACAAAAAGGGUGCUGGCAAAGGUUAAAAACUCUAUUCUAUUGGCAUACUAUGAAGCACGAUGUCAUUCGAACUGUUCAAGCUUGUGACACUUGUCAAAGUUUUAAGUCUGAGCAUGUACACUACCCUAGUCUGCUACAACCAUUACUUGUUCCUCGUUUGGCAUGGACUCAUGUGACUAUGGACUUCGUAGAAAGUCUACUGGAGUCACAGGGAUAUAAUACAGUAAUGGUGGUAAUUGAUAGAUUUAACAAGGUUGGACAUUUCCUUGCCCUAGCUCACCUCUUCACCGCCAAACAGGUGGCUCAACUUUUCUUGGAUCAUAUUUUUAGAUUGCAUAGACUUCCAGAAUCCAUAGUGACUGACAGAGACAGAAUAUUCACUAGUGCUUUCUGGCAGGAGCUUUUCAAGUUGGCAGAAAUAGAGUUGAAUUAUGGCUCUGCUUACCACCCUCAAUCGGAUGGGCAGAGUAAGAGGCUUAACCAGUGUUUUGAAUCUUAUUUAAGAUGCAUGACUGGAGAAUUUCCCCAUAAUUGGAGAAGGUGGCUAGCUAUCAGCCCACUCUUUUGCCUCUUGGUCCUCAUUUGGAAACCAUCAUACCAGCCGCAUCUCAACUACUCCAGGAAAGGCUAAGGAUUUCCAGCAGCAUCAAAGAUCAUCUGACAAAAACACAACAAAUGAUGAAAUUUUUUGCAGAUUAAAAGCGCACAGAAAGGACAUUUGAGGUUAGUGAUUAGGUUUUGUUAAAGUUGCAGCCUUAUAAACAACAAUCAAUUGCUAUCAAGAGGUGCCUCAAACUUUCUGCCAGGUUCUAUGGUCCCUUUCAAGCUGAAGUGAAGGUUCGGCCAGUUGCCUAUCGUCUCAAAUUACCUACAGGAGCACGGAUUCACCCAGUCUUCCAUGUUUCGUUGCUAAAAAAGAAAAUAGGGCCACUAAACCAAUUUCAGUUACCCUGCCUGAGCUUGACAAUGAUGACCAAUGUCCUUUACAACCAGAAUUCAUUUUGAAGAGGCGGGUAAUCAUAAGGAAUGGAUAAUCAGUAAUUCAAUACCUGAUCAAGUGGUAUCAGCUAAAUGAGGAAGAAGCGUCAUAGGAGGACAAAGAUUUUAUACACGCUUAGUUCGCUCAGUUUCAGUCUUGAGGACAAGACUCUUAAAAAGGGGGAGGCAAUGCCAGAAUGAAGAAAUUAAUUCCAACAAUUAAACCCAAUUUGUAACGAUGUCGUUUUAUACAAAUGACCAAAUAGAAUCAAAAGAAUAAGGAGUAAGUGGGACGACGUCGUAGCAAGAGAAUAACAGAUUCAGUUGAGUUAGUUCAGUCAAUUAAUUUAUCGUAUUUGUAAGAGAAUGAUUGGUUGAGAAGGAAAUCUUAAGGAAUAACAGAUUUUGCUUUCUUUCUGUCUCUCUCUCUCUAUCUCUUUCUCGCAUUUCCUCAUUCUUCCUUCUUCCUCUCGUCUGCACUUCUCUUUCCCCAAUUUUGAAUUCUUAAUCUGAACCAAUUCAUCAGUUAGGUUUCUGAAAUUGAAGUCAAUAACUGACACAUGUGCAUUCUUGAGACGAACCAACCAAACCGAUCCCAUGUUAUGUCGAUUCUCGGGACAUUUCUCUGCUAGUGAAUAUGCUUCGUAAGGGCAUAAUUGUAGAAAAGUAAUGUAAAAUUGGCCAAACUGUCUUCACUGUUAAUAAAAAAACACUCCUCUUGAAAAGCGAUAAUCUUUUCCUUCCGGACAAAGGGAGUACCAUGUUCAUUGAGGCAACUUAGUAAUAGCCCUUCCCUCGUGCAUUGAUGUCAAUGUCAAUAAUGUCAACCACAUGCAACAGAACUGCGUCUACAAAUUUCCUUAUUACUUGAGGUAUGCGUGCAGAUGUUAUAUUAGUAGAGACUUGAACGACACCAUCAAAGUUGGGUCCUUGGAAGUGAAGACCAUCGAAUUUGUCACACUCAUUUGCCGAUUUUAUGAUGCCAAAACUGGAGGUUUGGACCAAGAACGUCAAUCUCGGGUUUAUAAAUAUUCUGCUCUUUUAGUUAGGAAGCUACAGAACGUCUCAAGGGCAACUUUGAUGAUUCGUUUAUGGAAUUGCAGUCAUAAAGAUUGUAUGCUGGACAUGGUCUUAGUUAGGUCUGAAUAUACAGAGACAUUUAAUUGCAAAUUAUCAAUUUUCAAGCUGAAACUCUCAGAUUCUCUGCCACUGUUAGGUAGCUCGUUCAUAAUAAUAACACUGAUGCCCUUGUUCUGGAGAUGUGACUCGACAUACAUCAACAGAAAAUAUGAACGCCAUAAACAGCAACCUCUCAUUAAAAGAAAAAGGCUGAAACAUCAUCAUCAGGAUCCAGUCUCGACCCACAAUUUCUUGCUACACAAGUGCCUGAUGUGACUUUCUCACAGGAUAAUUAGAAGCAUCAGAAUUAAUUAUGAAAUCCCCGCCACCCCAUUUCAAACUGCAUUUUGCUGUAACUACAAGCAUUGCUGUUCCGUUUAAAAAGACCGGAAUCCAGCUCUACCCCUAUCCGUCGAGUCAAUCUGAGAAGCUGUGUAACAUCUAUCUCUAUACAUACCAAUAAUUGCAAUAAGCUAGCAGCAAAAUUGAUAACAUCACACCCACAGAAAAAGGGAGAAACAUCAGAUGUGUCCUGGAAAAAAAUAGCACCAAAACUGAGUCUGGUUUAAACAUGUAAACCAUUUCCAUUGUAAUAUAUCCCAUCUAAAGGCCCAUUAACUAGCUUAGUUGGAGUUCCAUUAAUGUGUGGUUUUAUUGCUGGUAUACCAUUGCUCACUGCGUAAGGCUUUGCCGUGCCCUUCUUCAGCCAGGCAUCCAGUUGCCCAGAUGCUGCUGCAAUUAGUCCUGUUUCAAAAGGAGAGAGAUUAUAAUUAAAGUGGAACAUGAGGAAAGAGAUUCAUGUUGAAGACGGCAAGAAACAAUUCCUGUACCUUACAUGACAAAUUAGAAAAGAUUAUGGUAAAAACAAAAAUAGCAUUCUAAUCACUGACAAAGCAAAUAUACUACUGAACAGGAAAUCAACAGAAAAUCAGAUAAAAAUCGCCACAGAAAAGUGAACCCUUUUUUGGCAGGAAAGCUGAAGCAAAACUAAGAAAAAGAAUAUUCAUCCCACCAGCCAAUACCGUUUCAACUGCAGGAAUUCCAUAUUAUUUUGUGUACUUUAUGUAAGAGAAAUUUUAGAUAAAAGAACCGCACCUAAGAAAACUGCAGAAGGUUUUCCUGGUCUCGAUUUAAACUCUGGAUGAAAUUGUACACCAAUAAAAUAAGGAUGUUGUGGAAGCUCGACGAUCUGCAUAUCCAAAAAUCAACAUAAAAAUAAAUGUAAACAGAAGCAUAUCAUAGCAACAAGUAAAAGUAGUAUUGAGAUCAACCUCCAUGCGACGACCAGUUUCAUCUUUCCCUGUGAAGCAGAGGCCAGCAUCUUCAAGGAGAGGCACCAUCUCAGGGUUUACCUGCAUUGAACAAAGUUAUGCAUUCAUAAGGAGCUCUGGUGAUCCUCUAGGCAUGGAACAGAAACCCAGAGAAACAGAUGUAGAGAUGCUAAAUCAUGGCAAAGUUCGUUGCAUAGAAUGUGCACACACCUCAUAUCUGUGACGAUGUCUUUCAUCAACAAAGCUUCGAUUGCCAUAUCUAUCAUUGAAACAAUGUAAAUAAGAUAAAUUGGCACGCUUUUAUUCAUCAUAACUCAGUAUCCAAUGAUACAAAUCCAGCAUUUAUGACAACAAAUGAACUUAGACUCUCUUCGCAAUUAAAAGUAUUUGUCUUAUCCAUGUUGCUAUAUUGGAUGAAGAUUUUGAAUUGAAUAUGAUGAUCAUGGCAAACAACGCCUGAGAGUAGAAGCCUUUUCAAAGCAAACUAGGGGAACAAUUUUUCAAAAUCCAUACUGAGGUUUCUUUUUUGUCCUCACGCAAGGCUUGGAAGUAAGAAGUGUGCUAAAACUCACUGCCAUCCACUGGCUACUAGAUUUGACAGCCAUAUUAGGUAGCCAAGAAGAGACUUUUAACAUUGCGGGUUGGAAAUGACUUGGCAAUGAUAUACCAAAUCAAAGUUAAUGGGCAAAGUUAACAGAGCAUCCAAAAACUCUCAAGUGGUCAAAGAAAUGAUUUGCAAGCUUGUCCUAAUUUUUUCUGGUCUUCUUCUAGCUAAAGAAAGGGCAAAGAUUGAAGAACUCACAAUUUUGCUGAUUUACAAUCCUUAACCUGAAAAUAUGUCCUCCUUGAUCCUAGUCGCAUAGUACCACCCAUAUGGGUUUUUGAACCCUGUGAAAAAAAAAAUGGAAUGUGGAAAUAAAUACCAAAUCAAGAUACAGUUGACAUAUUAUGGGUUAACAUUCACCUAAAAUCAGCAGUAAGAGAAUCCAAACCUCAGGCAUAAAAAUCACACAAGGAUUUCUAGUAUGGGCAUUAAACUCUGUGCUAUUUGCAUCUUGCAUUCCAAGAACAGAUCGUGCAAAUUCAAUAACGGCAGUUUGCAUUCCUAGGCAUAUCCCAAGAUAUGGUUUCCGGUUUUCACGAGCAUACUUGGCAGCAAGUAUUUUACCCUCCACCCCUCUGUCACCAAAGCCUCCAGGAACCAGUACACCAUCUGCACCCUGUAAAGGAAGGACUUCAGAGGUUUGCAUAAAACAGAUGGGAAUCAUCCAGUGAUAGAUAUCUGAAAGGUGAAAUCCAUACAGACCUUCAACAGACUCCAGGCACUCCUAUAUGCAUCAGGGUUCUGUGAAUUGGACAACAAAAAACUGUUAAUCUUUGAUGCAAGGAAAUUAGAAAGAACCAAAUAGAAAACUGACCUCUUGAGCAGUUGCAAUUUCCAGGUCACUGGCAGGAACCCAAUCGAUAUAUAGUUUUCUACGGCAAGCAACAGAUGCAUGUAAAAGAGCCUGCAAAUGGAUAUUCAUCAUAUUAGCCAAAAAAAUACUUACAGUAAUUAAUCCACAAUCCAACCAUCAUAAAAAUUGCAUGUGACAUUACCUCAACUAACAGCAAGUAUCAGGAAAAAAUUGGAAUCAAUUUUACACAACCGAGGCCAUUUUAUAGAAUGACCUUUUAUUCUAUAAAAUGUAAUCUUCAUAAUAGUGGCUGCACUAGAGGAUUUUGAUAGAAUAACUUUACCUUUAGUACUGAUAGGUAAGAAUCAGAAAGGCCAGUAUACUUCCCAACCAUUGCAAUCCUAACCUGCACAGUCAAUUGUAAAUCACUCAGAAAAGCCAACAUGCAAUAGAAAAAAUUACGAAAAAAAGAUGAAGAAAAGACACUCCAAAAACAGACCGGCUCAUGCAACUUGUCACAAAAUUUGGCCCUAGCUGUCCAUUCCCCCAGAGCAGGUUCACAUGCAACACUGUUGUUGAGAAAACAGGAUGUUGCAAGUGUCAGUGAAUGAUGCAAGAGGAUAAAAAAAAAAUGCAAACGACAAAUAUUAUGAAAAAAGAAAAAGAAAAAGAUAAGCAACCUCAAAUUCCUUAACAAAAGGUAAACAAGGAAAAGAUUUGAGCUUAAUAGACAAACCCUUUCAGGUCCAGAACUUUCAAGAUUGCCUCGUGAGCCUUCUGGUCCUAAGGGAAGGAAGAAAAUAGACAUCUCAGCCUUAAAUUUAACAGCAGUAAUAAUAGCUAUUAUUGAAUCAAAUGCACCAAAACUACUUACUUUUAAAAGCAGAGGAACAUGCCAGAUGUUUGAUACAUCGUAAAGAGUAAUUAUGUUUUCAAACUGAAAAAUACAAAACAAAGAAGUCAGCAAAAACAGUAUUGCAAUUUAAUUAAAAUAGACACAGAUUUUUAAACAUUCUUCUACUAUAUUACCGGAACAUGACAAAACUGGGAAAGUUUGUCUUUGACUUGUACUUCAAGUUCCUGUAAAUGCACUAAAUUUUUAAAAUCAAGUCUAAUACUGCAAAAGAAGUGCAUGUGCAAACUCAAUAAGAGGAGAAGAGGGAGAGGGGCCACAUGUGAAGGUAAAAAGGGAAGAGGGCUCGAGAUCAAGACCUUUGUGCUGCGGCAAGCUAAAAUAUUUGGCAUAAGCCCCUGGCUCCUUAAGCCCCUAACACUGUGUUGAGUUGGCUUCGUUUUCUGAACAAGAAAUCAUGAUUAAAACGUUAACUUUUAGAGUAAAAUUUGAUAUAUUCUGUCAUUAUUUACUUCAGAAAAUUUACCUGCUCGCCAACAACAUUGAGAACAGGUACAAGGCUCACAUGUACCAAGCAAAAGUUGCCAGCUCCUGAGACAAAUAAACAUGAUUAAAGAAUGCCAGUUACAUUAAGUUUAAAUACCACCAACUCCUCUGAACUAAAGCCUACUAAUCUCCUUUUCGAAGUUCUAAUAGCAUACUAAAUCUUACCUACACGGUAAGAAAACUGUCCAAGAGCUUCAAUAAAUGGCAUAGACUCUAUGUCUCCUGCAUGAUGAAAGGACCUGCUUUAAGAAAUCAAUUGUAGAACAAACUCUUCUGCCGCAAUUAAGACAUCAAUAACAAUCUACCUAUCGUGCCACCCAAUUCAAUUACACAAACAUCAGCUGGACCCUCUAUUCCAUCAACUGGUAUGGCUGCAACACGUUCAAUCCACUCUUGUAUGGCAUCUGUAAUGUGAGGGACAACCUGAACAAAAGGUAUCCGGACAUGAAGGUGGAGUAAAACAAGAGAUUCUGAAGUGGACCAAAAAAAAAAAAUCAGAAGCAGUAACCAACCUGAACAGUUUUUCCCAAGUAAUCUCCCCUCCUUUCUUUAUCAAUGACAGACUGUUAAGAAAGAAGCGGCAAAUAAUCAUCAGUCAAUUACAGUAAAGCUCAAUACUCAAUAACUUCAAGUAUUAAACUAACACAACAAUAUCUCUCAAUUCAGAAGGUAAUUGCCUGGUAAAUCUUUCCGGUUGUAAUGUUAUUAUCACAGGUCAACUUGAUAUCCAGAAAGCGCUCGUAGUUUCCAAGGUCCAGGUCCACCUUCAGACAAGAACAGUCCUGUUAUUUUUUGUUAAGAGCACAGUAAUCACCCGACUCUCCACCCACUUAUAACAAACACUGCAUGCCAGAUUAGAGAAACUGCCAGCUAAUGUAACAUGUAAAGUAGGCACAGCGUUGAUCUCCCGCUUAAUGCUAAAGAAAUCAUCCAUUUCUUUGUCAUCAAGACAAUUUGAUCCAACAGGAGAACAGGACAUGCAGUGUCAAUACAGCACCAAACUAAAAUAUCCCGUUUGUUGCAUCUAGUUCAAAGGUGGAUAGCCACAAUACUCUUCACCGCGAAUUGCCAACUUUAAUCGCCACAAGCUACAUGAUAAUAAGUAUAUGAUGGCUUGGUAGGAGCACCAUCAACUUCUCCAUUAGCUAGACAUGAUUAAAUAACAUAUAACUAAAAGAAAAGGAGGGCAAAACAUCUACUACUAACCUCACCACCAUCAUCCAAGACAAAUACUUCUCCAUGCUCGAAGGGUGACAUUGUCCCGGCAUCGGUAUUCAAAUAAGGAUCUGGAGACAAGAAACCAUAAGAAUUAGACAGCUCCAUCAGCUCACCUUGUUAUUAAAGAUAAAUAACUUAAUGCAAAUUACUUCAGCAGAGUACUGCAAGUUUUAUUUUAUUAUUUUUUUUUUAUAUAUAAAGGUGUUUACCAUCCUAAUUAAAAUAGGCAUUUCAUCUUUUUUAAAUUGAAAGAAAGGGACAUUUUACUGGAACCAAAUAGUACAGAAUAAAGAGAUUUAAUUAUGAGGCGAUAAGCACACAGGUCACAAGCGACGGUUCAAUAAAAAUUGCAAAGGUCAUAACCAUUUUGGUUGUUGAUAACAAUCUGAGGUGUCCUCACUUACCUUUAAAAGGACAAAAAAAUGGCCCCUUUAAAUAAUCACACUUUUGGUAUACAUACACUAACAUGUAUAUAUACAUGUAUAAAUAAUUCAUACAUGUAUUUUCAAAAAAUUAAAGGAGUAGAAAGGGAAAAAAAAAAGUGAGAAGUUGCUGCUUUAACUCUCGACCAUGUAGAUAACUGGCAAAGGAAGAAAAAGAAAAAACCUCUAUGCUACUCAGAAAUAAAGAUUUAGCGGCUUGAUACAACAAAAUAUUAAUUGUUAUCAAAGUCUUCUGUGCUGAAGUAAUACGUGCAAUAUCAGAGAACCAAAAAAAAACUUUAAAUGUGUUUUUGGACAAGUCAAUUGAUAGGAAAAAGAAACAGAGAAAAAACGAAAAAGGUCAGAACCUUUUUGAGUCCGAUCCAUAGCUCCACAAUGAAAACAGAAACACUAACACCAGAAAAAUUGGAGAAGUGCAAACAAUGAAGCAGAAAUAGCAAUCCCAUUGGGCAUUUCUUUUUCGUUUUCUUUUUCUCCUUCCCUCCACCAAACCAGGGCAGAAACAUAAUACAGGGCGGCAAAGCCACGAAAAAUCAACCCCCCCCCACCCCUCCUCCUCCUUUCCCCCACCCCACGCCCUAUAAAGAAAAAAGACAAUAGAAAAGACUUAAUGGUUGAAUGGAGGAGAGAAGAAGAGCAAGCAAAAAUACCAAUCUUAAUGGAAGUGACCCGUAGCCCACAAGCUUUAAGGAUGAGCCCAAUACUGCUUGCAGUCACCCCUUUUCCCAGCCCACUCACCACUCCUCCAGUUACCAAAACGUACUUCAUUGCUACCCUUUUCGUUUUCUUCUAAACAACCAACAAAACAGACACAGCCCCUUCUCUUCAAUCCCUUCAAAAACAACAACAACAAUGACAAAUCAAUUUCUUCUCCAAUAAAGGUGCCAACUUUAUGCAAAACCAACGCCUGUGUCCACAUAUUUAUACACACAAACAAGAGGAAAAAAUAAGAACCUUAGUUUUUUGGAACAAAAAAAGACACAAACUUGGCAGUAUAAGUGAUUGUUAUCUUCUUCCUUGUAACAAGAAAAGCAACAGCUGUUGUGUAUUUGUUUUCACAAGGGGUGUCUUAGUAUUUGAACCUUAUCUUGUAUGCCACUAAACCCUGUAAAAAAUCUGGACUUUCUGUUUUCAAAAGAUUUGAAAAGACAAGCAGAAAGAGAGAGUGGGAAAAGAAUGCAAACGGAGGAGGAAGGAAAGAGGAGGAAAGGGGUUAGAGGGAAGGAGGUAAAGAGGAGGAAGGAAUGAAUGAGAUUGCGAGUGAGGAGGUAAUGGCGGCUUUAUAUUGUGCUGAAAAGUAUCAGGGCAAAUGGCAAUUGCGAAUAGAGGGAAAGGCUUCCAUGGGCUUUUUGCCCUUUUUCUUUUUCUUUUCUUUUUAUUUGUUUGAAAUGUUCUAACUUUAGAAUUUUGUUUUAUUUUUUAAUGACCCAUGUAACAAUUGGCAGUUAAAAAACUUGGAAGGCCGAUUUCACCUUACUUUUGAAGUGAUGGUAACUUUCCUUACCGUGGGAGUCAAAUUUGUACAUUAAUAACAAGAGUUCUACAAGUGAUGAAAUUUCUCUGUUCUCAUGCUUCAACUCAAACAAUCAACAUCCACAUGUCAUCAGCCCAUUUCGAUUGUUAUUUUUAGGAGUUUUGAUACAAAAAUAUACUGUAAUGAUUUAAUAUAUGUAAAGUAAAGAAGUAAUUAGAAAGCGUGUUUACGUGAAAUAUAAAAGAAUUUUUCUGUAAAAAACAGGAAUCCAAAUAAGGCAAAGUGAAGUGCUUAUUUAAAAUAAAAUUAGAGAUUGGUAACAAAGAAAGAAGCAAAAGUCAAGGGCACUCCUUGUUUUAUUAAUAACACCAUUCUUGACUUUUUUUACUUAUUUGAUAUGAUAAAGAAUGCUCGUACUCUUUAUUUCAAUUACAACUUAAUAAAAAAGAAUUGAUUGUAAUGCAAUUUAAUUUUUAUUCACAGGAUCAAAAGAGGCAUUAUUAAUGAAAAAAAAAAGGGAAUUCUAUUAACAUUCUUUAAGUAAAAAUAUUGAUUAAAAAUACAUAUUCAUGAAUUUACCUAAAAACUAUAAAACAAAAAAUCUAGAGAGAAAAAGACGUAGCCUUUGUCAUUAUUAUUAUUAUUAUUAUUAACAACUUCCCCCCAUUCCCUAUUCCUUCCCUACUCCAAACCUGCCAUCCAGGAGAUUGAAUCCUGGUAGGAGUUAGAGAAAGACGUAGCCUUCCUUUUUGUCUUCUUGUAAUUUUCACUUUUCUUUUUCACUUUUCUUUCUUGGGAAAGGGUAGGGUGAUAAUUUCAACUCCCAAAAUUGCUCCUUUUUACUCCCUCCCUUUUUUUAUUACUGACGUUUAAGAAAUUUGCUCUUAAGUACUUUUAUCUGUCGUUGUAUUAUCCCCAUGCAGCAUUAAUUAUUUUUUCACAAUUUUACCAUUUUAUCUCUCUUUACCAAUACAGGGCUCUUAAUUACUACUUCUAGUAAUUAUUACUUCUCUCUUUGCUUUUGGCCUAGUAAAACAGCACAAUUUAAUAUUCUAGUGAGAGAAAACAUAAGUGAAUUGGACAUUUAAUGAGGGUAUAAAAGGAAAGUAGUGUAUAGAUUUAAACAAUGAAAAAUUUUUCUUAAUUGAUGUGCAAAAUUUUAAACGUGAGUUAUAAAAAAAGGGAGGGAGUACUAAUUAUUCUUUUCUGUUUAAUUUUAUCUUGACACCUUUUAUUUUCUUUUAAUUUUGUUUUUCUUCUGUUUAUUUUUCACUUUUUUUGUUCUUCUGUUCUCUGUACUAGCAUUUCUUUAUCAUGCUUUUCAAAGUCCAGGGUUAGGAUGGUGGUCAAUGAAGAAUGUGGCCUGGGGGCCACCUGCAAACUUUGGGGAUCUAUGCGCCAUUGAAGCAGCAUUUAAGAAAAUUCGAGUCAUUUAUUUUAGAGUAGACCAAUGAAAUUGUUUUUUUUUUAAAAAAAAAAAGAAGAAGAAAAAAAAAACAUUUCGGUUGGUACUGCCUUGGAACUCAAAGGUAGGAAAAAGCUGUGUUUAGAAUUUAUGAAGAACGUGAGAGCAGUUACCAAUUAAUGCUGUUAAAUUAUUGAAAUAAUUGAGAGCAUUUACACGGCUCUGAACCCAACACCUAUUUAUUACCCACCAAAAUCAGUGCUGUAUUUUAAUCAAUCUGUUUCUGCCUUCUGCCACAAUGGCAUAAUCAAUUUUCACUUGUUUGCUGUUUUGUUGCAAAGUAGAGGUCUAAAUUAAAGUUAAUGAGGGUUGAUUAAUGAAUCUUUUGGUUUUACCAUAAACUUUGGCAAUCAAUUCUCUAAAGCCAUUUUUUAAUUAUUUAAAGGAUUAAUCUUUUCUGUCACGCUAACAUUUUCGAAUGUAUGUGAUAUAAAUUCAGUUUGAAUUUACAUUUCAUAUUUCAGUUUAAAUUCAGUUUCUGUCAUACUAGCUAUUAUACAAGGUGUCAGUACCCAAAAAAAAAAAACCUUCAUUUAAAUCAUGAAACAUUAAACUAUCGAGUAAAUCUUUCCUGCGCUGACGGCAUAUACAGUAUCAUCGUUCGAUUCAUGAUAUGUGUGCAAAAAUUAAAUUUCAAAUUCUGACAAAUUAUUGGUGUAAACCCAUAUUAGUGAAAUGUUAUUGUGUCAAACAUGUGAAAGAACUUGUAUGCAAUAAUGCAAUUAGUAUAUAUCUAUAUAUACUAAUGUUGUGUAUUGAAUUAUCUUUAUGAUGGUAAACAGCACAUCACCAAAUUAAUAUGUAAUAUAGUUAGGUAUAUAAAUGCAAUUUUCUACUUUGCUAGAUUUGGAGGGCAGGUCAAGGUAAAGCAAACCUGCUAUUUCUUUUUCCUCUUUCUUUUACAUACUUUGAAGAAAAAAUAGUUUGGCUGUUUGGUAACAAAACCAAACUAGCUGAAUUCAAUUAGUUUCCAAAAAUCGUGUGAUAUUAAAUUAGUUCCAUUAUCAUCCACUUAUCUUAUCUUAUUAGGUAGAAAGAAAAGAAAGGAAAACUAAAGAAUGGUCUUCAAAAUUUUGCCCCUUUUACCCACCUCAUCUACAUACAUUGUCUUGUAAUUAAGUAAUAAGUAUGUUUAGCUUUCCUUUGGAAACAAAAAAAAAAAAAAACUAAUUAAAAGACGGCAAGUGAUAAGAUCUUCCAUUAUAUUGUCCCCCAUGCAGGCAUUCCUUUUUUUUUUUUUUUUUUUUUUGCGCAAAGAUUAGCCUCAUCCAUUGUCCAAUGCCAUCUUCAUAUCUAGUCAUUUUGUUCUUGUCCUUUCUCCCUUUUUAUGCCAACAAAAUUUGCUACUGAAAAUUUCAAUGUAUCAUCCAUAGGAGAUAUGCCUAAAAACAUAGGAAUUAUUCAAUAAUAAAAAAGAUGAGGGUCCCCAUAACCGAAAAAAAAAAAAAGAUAGAGCAACAUUGAGAAAUGACAAUAAAGAGGAAAAAAAGACAAGGCAGAAAUUGUUGUCUCCAUUUAACACCAGCAAAUCCAUCAUCUAUUUUUAACUGCAUAACUAAAACUACCCCUCUUGAUCUUGAAGCUCAUGAAUGUUAUAGGACCCCACCAAUUGCACAUUCAAGUUACCUAAAGGCUGAAAGUCCAUAAUUUUUUGCCAAAUUAGACAUUCACACCACAACCACCUAAUUUUCUUAAAAGUUUUUUUUUUUUUGAUGUUUUGAAAGCCAAAGCCCAGGUUUGAGUACAAGAUCAUACAAGGAAUAACAUUAUAUUAUAGUACUCAUCAAAUUUAAUUCCCCUUACAAAAAUUUAGAAGGGGACAACUACAUUGAAGGAGCUGGCUGAGAUAUCCAUGGCAUCUUAGCCAAAAUCCUUGUUUCCAUGAGUAUUGACACUAAGCAUUCAUUUUACAAUUUUUAUUUCUCUAAGUAUGUUGAACAAGAAAGCACCAUGAAAGUCAAAGACAACAACAUUCUCACAAGAAUCAAAACUAGCCGCAUUCACCAAAUGAAUGCCAACUUGCAUUCUUCAUUUUUCCCCCCCUUCCCAAUUUUGAUCAAUUCAAAAGUGCUGAGUGGCUGUAGUGAUAACAUAAGAACACAAACUUUAGUCACAUCAGCGCAAAUUUAUGGUACGUGUAUAAAAGAUGGCCUAAGAUAUUGUCAAUAAUAAUGAAAGGGUAAAUUUUCGAUGCACCAUAACUGUAUACACAUGAGCGAACCGUUGUUACUGCAUAUAACAUAUUCUUAUUUUAAAUUUGAAAUUUAAUUUUUACACAUGUGACAUAUAUUUCAUGUUGCUAGUAUAAAAAAAUAUUGCAUUGACGGUGUAUAAAAACUUAAACCAUAAAAUGUACACGUAAUAUACACACGGAACUAAGAGUCAAAUCAAGCUAACACACAUUGGAGUGUGGAAGCAAAGGAUAUCCUUCCCGUUUUCCACACAGAAAAACGAAGAUAAAGUUUUGGCUUAUAGCGUUCACUUUCGGAAAGUUCUAAACAUUUGAAAAAGAUAAAGGGAAAAAGGGAACGAGCAUUGGGCAAAUGGCAUGCAGGAGAUGGGAAGAGAUAUGGUCAAAACCCUAAUAAAGAUAUCAUAAACUAACCAACUUGAAAAAAGUGAAAACGAAUCCUUUUAUUUCAAGAAAAGUCACCUAACAGCUAUGCCCCAUUUUUCAUGACCCCGUCAACCCUCCUGUAUAUCGUCAUCAUAACAAUCUAUCACCCUCUAAUUAAUCACCUAUUACCACAACAUCAAUCUCACCGCGCAAAAUAGAUUUAAAACUAAUCACUUCAUUAUGUUUGUGUAGUGUUGAGAUAUUCCUGGACCAUUACAUUUGAUUGCUAUGGAAGAAUGUAGGCCACUUCACAUCAUCACACAUGCUUUGACAUAAGCAGUUUGGUUGUGUCACCAGCCAUGUUUUGUUUUGUACCAACGGUUUCUUUCUUUUUGGAGCCAUCUAUUUCACAACAAAAAAUAACCAACUUAGGUUGUAUUUGAUAAAAUUGAAGUUUGAAAUUUGAAUCAGUUAAGUUGCUUAAUGGUUAAGUACUGAAAUAUUAUCGUUUUAGCGUAUUCUGCAUUAAGUGAUAAGUGAUCAGUUUAUCACUUACUGUUUUGAAUAAGUUUUACCUAAGUAAUUUAGAGUCACUUUACUGUUUUGAAUAAGUUUUACCUAAGCAAUUUAGAGUUACUUUAUUAAUUAAAGCGUUCUAGUUUUUGUUAUUAAACACAUAAAAUCUGAAUUCAUUAAAUUUAAAUUCUGAAUUGAGUUAUCAAAUUGGUUAGGCGAAGGCACUUUAUUCAAAAAAAUUUGGACAAUCUUGGGUGGUUUUUUAAAUUCUUUUUUUUUUUACCCCACAUUAAUAUUACUUGUUCACAUUUCGAUUCCUAACCCGUGUAGCCACCCCGUGAACUUAGACUUUUGCCAGGAGUAAAAAUUAAUACACAAAUGUAUUGUUUAAAUUAUCUGUCAUGGACACUUUGGAGAUAGGAAGGUUAUCUGGCUAUUUUUAGUUCAAUCAUUUUCUGUUGUUUCAUGCAAUUGAACCAAGAAAAUAAAGGUGAUGAAAAAUGGGACCAAGGUGAAAGACAAGAAAAAGACACCCCCAUAAAAUAUACAUGUUGCUUACGACUUACUAUGUUAGCCGUGUUACUUUGUUAGGUUUUGAGCUAUCCUUUUAAUUAUGUCAUGCUUUGAACAAACAAGAGUACGUAUUACUCCUUCCAACAUCGCAAGGUAAAAUAUUUCUUAGGUUGUACAAGAAUAUUUUUUUUUAAAGAAACACAAAAGUGAAAAAGGGCAUCGAGAAAAGGUCAGAAAGAUGAGACUAAACACUUUAAGAUUGAAAAUUAAUUGUUGACACAGUGCUUUAAUUUCAUUUGCUAUCGGUUGGAACAAAAAGUAUGUACUUAGCAAGUUUUUUAGAUUUUUAAUGCAAAAAAAAGGGAGCAUAAAACAAAGCAUAGUGCAAAAAUACAUUAUCCCUUAGCGUAGAUUAUCAUAAAAUACACAUUGCAUAUAAUUUAUGAAUAAUGGGAAAUGAAGAUGAAAGAGAAAAUAUGUUUCAUCAUAAGUUUAUUUUGCAGGAUCAGUAGAUCUAUGUAUCUAUUUAAUUCCCUUCAAUUUUUAGCUUUAAUUUUGUUUAUUUUAUAUAUGUUCCUUUGCUAAUUAUUGUAUUCUUAUGGUGUAGCUUAUCAAAAUAUGCUUCUCCUAGCUAGGCUUAGAGAAUUUUUACCAUUGAUCGAUUGAUCUUAAGAUGAAGAAAUAUAUAUUCCUCUGAACAAAGUUUAAGGAUUUUACUUACUUUAGAGUUCAAGAGAAAAAGGACAUGUUGAUUCUUUUGCUGUCAACCUGCAACAAUGGACCAUGUUAAUCCAAAAAAUACUACAACGUACGAACCCUAAAUUUGAUGCAUAACAAGACAUAUCCAUGAGGUAAUUGAUUCCAUAUUUCAUCCAAGUGAGACAAAUGCUCGCUACUCCAAAACAUGAGAGUAUAGGAAAGAUACUUCUACCCCUAAUUAAAAAUAGAAAAUACUACAAAUAUUGACUUCAUCCCAUAUAUAUAGUAAAUUAGUAUGUUAAUCAAAAUUUGAUGUUUACCUAAAAAGAAAAAUAGAAUAUUCGAAAUCUAGAUAAAAGGGGAAAGAUCCUUUUAGACUCCUUUUCCUUGGUAUUCAUAGACAAAAUAAAUACACAUGUGUAUGUAUAUAUAGUCUUCCAAAUUAAUUCUGAUAUAUAUAUAUAUUACUCCCUCUGUCCCAUUUUAUUAGUCGUCAGGGUUUAUAAGGGAAAUGAAAAUAGACCACCUCUCCAUUUUACCCUUCAUUAAUUCUAUCUCCAAAAAGAGCGUUAAAGUUAUGUUUUAACGUUAAAUGCUCUAACUAACUAAUAUAAAAUUCAAAAAUUAAAAAACAACUAAUAACAUUUAAAUUUAAAUUAAUGGAUAAUCAUGGAAAAAGUUAUUUAAUAGUUGGUCAAAAAUUAUUAAAUUUCUUAAACUGCGUGCAAAGUUGAUCACAAUAAGCAAAAUUAAUGCAACGGAGGGAAUACUACUAUAAUUAAGCCUCUAGUAUUUCUACGCUUAUCAAGAAUGAGCAAUUGUUAGGCACUUUUGUGAGUCAAUGGUAUAGGCGCAGCCUAGGAACAAGAAUACAUGUAUUCCGUCUUCCGGUAAGAAUUUCUUUGCUAUAACUCAGCCAAAUUCGUCCCUGUACCAGUAAACUUAAGUUGACAAAGAAAACACUGGCAUGAGAAGAAUCUCCUCAAAAGAUUUUUUCCACAAAGCAUGGACCCGACUAAUAUCAGAAACAUUGUCAAGAAAACGAAAAAGCAAAAGAAAAAGCCAGGAGAGCGUGUGGUAGGAAUUCAUGAUGGGAAAAGAUAGUCACAGGAGUACAUAUCAGCAGGAAUUUUAUGAAGGGAAAUUUAAGUAAACUUGAUGUUUGAUACAGAAGAAUAAUCAAUCAUCUAGCAAAUUAAUAGUUACCCAAGCAGUGAUAUUAAUUAUUUACCAAUAAGAACUUAGUUCAGCAGUUAAAAAUGGAGCACUGCUGAUAUCAAUAGUGAAAAGUUCCAAGUUAAAAAUCUCACCCUCUAACCUAUAGUGAUCAAAUUAAGUUGAAGAAAUUAGAAAGAAACAGCAAAAUCAUUACUAACAUAUGAUAAUGAAUUAAAAAUGUUCCCAUAACUUUCCCAUAUGAUAAAGUAUUGUGUUUGUAUUGCAUUUUUCGUCAUCUUUUAUAGAAAAAUUACUGUAGCGAUUUGAACUAUGUGAAGAAAAAAGGUGAUAGGGAACAAAAAAUUUCGAUAUGCCAUGCACUAAAAAUUUCCCAGAUGCAACAAAAAAAAACACAUAUAUAUAUAUAUAUAUAAAUACUAUUAUUUUAAAUUUUUUGGUACCAUAGACUAAGAGCACACGAUAAACACACAAAGAAAAGAUGAGCUCACUUUAACAACUCAUCGCUCAUCGUUUUUCAUCAACAAGGAAAAAUGUUUUUCUUGCCGAAAAAUUGACGGCGGAUCCAAUUUAAUUCUGCAUGCUUAUUGCUAACGGGCAAUACAAGUAAAGACUUAGGUUGAAUGUUAAGAUAAGAGAGAUUGUAGUAAAUAGAUGAUCUUGAGCUGAAAACUUCUCACUUACUUAAAAAAAAAAAAAAAGAAAAGGAGAAGAGGAGGAGGAUAGAAGAAUAGAUGAACUCUUGUUUUAGGCGUGUGAGCUUAACGUUAAUGGAUAAUAUAAACCAAGACCGAUCCCAGAAUUUCAAAGAUUGCAUGCAUAAUGCGCGAGCAUAAACUAUUCCUAGUGGAUGAGGUCAGGAGUUUGGUGGAGAGGAGGCUAAGGGAAGUUGACUGAACUUGCUGGAGGAGGGCGGAGGGAAGGGGAACGAGCACCAGAAUCAUCACACGUGUUGCUGAGUCUGUAGCUUCAUCUACGCCUGCCGUUGCGGCGCUUUGAUGUAAUCGUCGUGGUCGAUGAGGAUUAUGCAGCUCUUUUCUUUCUCUCCCCCACCCCCACAAGUCAUAAUCACAUUUCUGCACCACUCUAUGCCUAUAUGGAUGGAUCAACCUACUCCUAAGUCCUACCAACGGUUAACGGCCAAUUUAGAGAUCUGUUCACUUAACAACGUUUGCAAGGAAUAAAUAAACAACAAGAGGAGUGAGUCUUGACAAAGCAUAAAAACUUGCACCAACAAUUGAUUCUAUUGGUCUCCAUCCGUCCCAUGGAUAUGUCUUUCUUUUUUCCCCAGAAGGCAAAGAACACACACACCCAUACAAUUUAGAACGACGCACAAGGCAUCGAGAAAUCGGCCCGAAAGCAAUCUAAGGGAGAUCCACAAGGAAACUCUAUUCAGCCAAUUGGCUUUCUUCUCUCUUUUUGCAUUUGUAGUAAAGUCUCUCGUAAGAUUUUGAAGGGUUUCGUCUCUCGUAGGGUUUCUUAGUGAAACUUUUUUCCGCUAGUACGAUUUUCUAGUAAGAGUUUCCUUUCUCUUGAUAUUUCUUAAUAAGGAUUUUUUCAUUGGUUCUUUUUGUUUUGUUGUUAGAUAUCAGUAUUCCAGAUUUGGUAGUCAGAUUUGAGAUUCAUCCGAUCUAUCUCAACAGAUCUCACCAUUAAUAUUAGAAUUUGAAGUAGUUAGUUAGCAGAUCUAGCAAUUGAAGCAUACACAGACGUUGUAAAGGCUACAAAUAUUAUAUCUGAUCUUUAGUACUAUAGAAACUUUAUGGUAUAAAUUUUAUCAAAUUCUUAGAUAUGUUCCAAAAUAUUUGUCAUCUUACUAAAGUUAAAGUUGCUUUUGAUCUUUUUUAAUUUUAUUCUGAUUUUUAUCUAUAUUUUAUACUAAAUUCAUAUUUAAAAUUUAAAUUUUUUAGGAUAAUUUUGAAAAUAAAUCCUAAAAUGCAACAAACAUUUAUGGACGGAGGGAGCAGGAAGUAGCAUUGAAUUGGUUUAUUCAAUGACGCCUUCACUUAGUGGUCAAUGUUGAAAUAACAGAAGUUAAAUGAGCUCGGGGUUAUUGACUCAACAUUCCCUAAAUUUGAAUUUUUUUUUCUCUCACUAUUUAUGACUCGUGAAUUUAUUUGUUUUAUUAUUAAAUUGUACAUUCCAUUGUCAGUAGGGUAGUUUGUACUCCCCGCUUUUUCUUUCUAUAAUCAUAUAAAAAACAACAAAGGCAAAAAAAAAAAAGAAAAGAAAGAAAAUUGUUGAGUUGGUGUACCAAAAUUAAUACUCUAUCGAAAUCCAUUCGUUAGCUUCUGGUCCAGUACUAGUACUAGACUAGUAACUACUGCUGGGCCCCACGUUUGCUAAACCUCCAAAGUUGACCCACGCAUCAGUUGUACGUGGCUGACACAUAAGAUCUGACGGUACAACCGCUGACGCUUCUUUGUAGGCAACGGCCAGACAGAAUUAAGGGUAGAGGUCGGAUGAAUAAAAUUCAUUGUGGAACAAAUUUUUCAACAAAUGAUAAAAUUCAUUAAAAUUUGCGUGUUAUUGUUUUAGUGUCUCUAUUUGUUAUUUUAGUAUUAUGCGAGUAGAGAACAUCACUUACAACACAAAAAAGGGUAGAGGGACGAGUUUUAGAGAAAAGUUAUUUUCUGGAUAAAAGAAGGGAGAGUAUUUACAAUGGUAGUGAGACAUAUGGAUUCACCGAUACCCGAGUCGAUUUUAUGGUAUAGGUAACCACCAUAGAUCGACUAUAUAGAAAUAAAAGUGAUUUUUUUAUGACAUAAAUAGCGGCGAUAGGUCGAUUACAUUGGAAUAUGAGUGUCGGAUAGGCUGUUGAAAGCUGAACGAGGGUUGUAAGUCGUCACACCCACAUUGGUAUGUGAGUAGGGGUGGUAAUGGGGCGGGUGACACCUCCCCCAACCCCCGCCCCAUUGCAUUUUAAUUCCCCCCGCCCCAUCCUGCUUCUCCCGCGGGAGCAUCCAUGGGCUAAAAAAAAUUUAAUAUAUAAUUUUAUUAUAAUUAAAUUUGAGCAAAUAAUUAAGUAUUAAAAUAUCAACACAUCACUAAAUUAUUAUUCAUUGUAACUUCAUAAUUGAAACUUAUAAAAAUAAUUAAAUAAAGGUUAUUUAAAUAUAAUCUAAUAUGAUAAAAUAAAUAUAACUAAAAUAAUCAAAUUUUCACUUUUGAUACAAAUACAAUCACUAAAUUAUUAUUGUGUUUUUUUUUAGAAAAAAGUGUUAUUGUAUUAAGUGUAGCGAGGAAUUUAACAUAAAUGUAUUAAUAAAUAUAUUAUAAAUAAUUAAUAAUUUUUAUUAAUAGACAUAUAUAAUUAGUAAUAUAAUUGAUAAUAUCAUUAUAUAUAUAUAAUUAUGUACACAUAUAUAUAUUUUUUCAAACGGGUGGUGGGGCGGGGAAGUAUACCCCCGUCCCCCCGCCCCGCUUCUAAUUGGGGGGAAAAAAUUCCCCCCACCCCCGCCCCAACGACCUCCCGCGGGGCGGGUGCUCGCUCCUGUUGCCAUCCCUAUAUGUGAGAGCUUCUUAAUUAGUUUGUUCAGCCAGUGUAAAGAAGAUCCGAAACCCAGAAAGAAAGCCAAUUCGAGAAGGAUGAUCGGAUCCCGCAAGUAUUGAUACAUGAUACAAUUAUGACUAAGAAGCCCCAAAUCUCCAACAAUCAACCGCCAACUAUAUACCACACACACUAAACUCAACCUCAAGGAAACCUUUUCAAAUUUAAUGGUUAUUUAAGUAUGAUAAAAAUGUGCAAGAUUUAUCAUCUCAUUUGCUUCUAGGCAAUGCUUGGAUGGAAGGAAAGAUGGGGAAAGAACACCACUGAAGAAGAAAAGUAAAAGAAUGGUAGACGUGCUGCUUGGACUAAGGAAGGAAAAGUUCAAGUGCUAGUUAACUAGCUCGCAAGGAAAGAAAAAGACUAUCUCAAAAUAAUUUAAAUCACUUCAUUUGAUACGGCUUUUUCCAUUUGUUUAUGCCCCAUUUUGGAAACGAAAUCAAAUAUGAUUGAUUAAAAAAAAAAAAUCAACGGCGCUGUUUGGUUAAUAUGAUUUGCAAAAAAAAAAAAAAAAUUCCAUUCAACUCACAUCAUAAAUACAAGUUUCAAUAAUCAUUUUAUCUCACAUAUAUUACAUCACAAAAAAUAUAGUAUUAUGUUAUUUUCAAAUAAUUUUAGUAAUUCCUCUCCAUUUCUUCCCCCCCCCCCUCCCCAAAUUCCUUCAAUCCAAAUGGUGACUUCAGACUUUUUGUUUUGUUCUAUAUUCAACAAUUCAAGCAAUCUUCACAACAAGAACGACAUUAUCCAAAAAAGAAAAUUCCAAUCCACAAGCUCUAAUAGCAUGGAAAAUAGUUAAUACGUAAUUAUCAAAAUCCUUUGGGUUUGAUUUGGUGGGAUCCACAAGGAUGGAAGAGUGAAGGAUUCGAAAACGAGACGUGGACUAUGCACUUGAUGAUUUCCACGCUUCCACCAACCCCCCUACGAUGCGUCAUAAUUCUCCCCUCCCGCCCCCUACCUCUCCUUCAUAAUAGUUAACGACCAAGUAAUCUUAUACUAAUAAUAAUAAUUAAAAUAUCGUCAUUUUAUUAGGCUGUACCUGUACGUACUUAGCAUAUACUCUAUCUCUUGCUGGUUUAUAUGUGGCCCAAUAGGAAUUAUUGAACACUUAAAAAAACUUUUCUUGAAAUAGAUGUGUCAUUUUGCAAACUAACUAGCUUCUUCUUGAGUACUAAUAUAGCAAUUUUAUAACAAGACUCUACAUUUUAAAAAUGUUCUGGAUUAGGAAUACAAAAAAUUCAACCCUAUCCAUCUCUUAAGACGAAUAGAUAUUUUGGGGGUUAGUUACACCUAAAAUUUCCUAAGUUUUUAACAAGUAUAUUUUAGAUUUGGGCUUUUAUGGCUCAAAUUCAAAGCUUAAUGUUCGUUGCUUACUAGGUAUUUACUAAUGAGUAUCUUGAAUAGGUCUCAAGUAUUAAUUUUUUUCAGUAAAGGUGAAACUAUUUUGAAAAAGCGUUCGAACUGCAAGGAAUAGGAAUGUAAUAAAUGUAAGUGUGUGUAUUCGCAUGAUAAUUAAUUAAGUAGUAUAAUUUAGAUGCACUAACGACAGUUUUCGGCGCAUCUGUUAGAAAAAUUCGUUGUAUAAUAAUACCUUAGGGUUAGCUUCAAGAAAUUGGUUGUCCAAAAAUAGCAAACAGUACAAAACUAAAAUAAGGACAAUGGAAAUUAAAUUGCAUGUGCAAGAUCCAACUGUUAAGCAACCAACUGUGGUCACUCAAAUCUUAACAUGCAACCAACUUCUUUCGUCUUCGUCUUCCUAUUAUAAUAGAUUAGGGCUCUCAUGCCUAGCUUAAUGUAUCACUACAAUUAGAUUGAAUAAGUCUCAUUUGACAAAAUGCAGGCAUGCUUUUGAAUGUAAUUAGUCAUCACACUCUAGAUUUGGCCGGCUUAAUUGGCCAAGAAACAUGCACAUCUAGAUAUUCAAACAUGAGAUCCAAUAAUGCUCGUCUUAAGCAGAUGUGGCAAUGACUCGACUAUGACUUGGAUUAGCUCUUUUUCUAAGUCAUCAGUCCAAACCUUCAAACUUUUCGUUAUUGACUUUCAGGGUGAUGCCCCAAAACUCCUGCCAAUUCCAGUUCUAUUACUCCAUAGCAGUCAACUGAAAAAGAAUGUGAUAGUAUAAAUAAAAGAAGAAUCAGAGAUGAUAGUGUUAAAUUCUGGUGGUCACCUGUGUUUGCCUAAGAUGGAGGGUCACUGACAUGCCGGCUGGCGACUCAUUGCUCUCUCGUCUCCCACACACUGCAGGCAUGAUUUAACCAACAUUAAAGCCACUCCUUUCGCAAGUUGACAAGUGAGUUUGGUUUGGACUUUGGACUAGGCAAGGUAGUAACAAGUCACGCAUUAUCAGGAGCAAAUUUUCUUGAUGGAAUCUAGAAGCUGACGGCAUGCAUGAAAGUGAAUGAAUGAAGAAGAUGGAAUCCAUGAGCAUGAAAUUCUCUUGAAUUUACUUUUUCCAUUUCAGGGGUACGUUGAGCCGAGCUUUUUGAAAGUUCAGCAAAAUGAUGGAUGACGUUGCUACCAAAAUUAUUUCAUUGACUACAAGAACAACAUUUUCAUGUGGUAGCUAGGGCUGUUUCUUGUUAAGGAACAGCAAGGGAGAUAUAUUUAAAUCCAAAAUUCAAAAAACACACACAAGCCAGCCCAAAUCAAUCCACAUCUCACCGUAAUUGAAGGUGUUUAUUGUGUAGAUUUGCUUUUGCUUUUGACUUCAAAAUAUCGAGCAUGUUCCGAUCGAAGAUUAUUCGAAAAUAUUUUUUUUAUUGACAGUGUGUUUGGUGAUGUUAUGAUGUAUGUAAGACAAAUAAUCGAUAAAAUACAAAAUGUGACCGGAAAAUAUGUACGGAGAAUAUCGAGGAAUUAUUUGUGCAAAAAUAGGCAUUUUAAUCAUUUUGUUUUGUUAUGUUGUAUGCAGUAUGCUUCAUUAAUUUGGACAUCAACAAAACAGAAGAAGAAUGUCUCUUUAGCUAAAGUUGUUCACUCAAAAAAAUCUCUUAUCUAAGUUGCCUUUCUCAAAUUUUCAUGUAAAAGUAGCGCUAAAAACCUCGCCUUUGAAGGGUCUUGCAACAUCUUUCUUUAGAGAUAAAAUCCUCUCUUUUAUUUGGAUCUUUGAUAGUCCCUCCAACAGUUGUUUAUUUGCUUGCUCAAACAAAAAUCAAGUAUCCUUGCUAGCUAUAAAUAUUACAAUUUGCAUUACCCUCUAGUCAUAGAGUAAUUAAUUUGCAUAUCUGAAUUUUCAACAAUUCAACUAAGGUCCAAUAAACUUUAAUAUUCACAUUUAAUUAAUUUGCACCAGGAAAGUAGAACCAGGCAGCUUAGAGUUUUCACUUAAAUGGCAAGUAUGAUUUGUAUUUUUCUGAAACUAUUUAUGAUUUUAUUCUAAAAGCGAAUAGGGAUGUGAAAUCGAUCAAAUCAUAUCAUUUACAUCCCCAUCGGGAGGCAGUUUACCAGCACCACAGACCUGCUGCUAUGGUGGAUCACAAAUAAUAUAGUACGUGCAAAUACCUGAGUUGAUUGAAGGGAAUUUAAUGGUAGCAGAAGUGGGGUAACCUAUCGCUUUACCUGUCCCAAAAUGCAUGUUCUUAUCUUUCUUUUCUAGGCAGGUUUUAGUGGAGCAUUCAACAAAAUGGUCGAGGUUGUAGAGAAUUGCUUGAACUUGAAGCAAAAGAAUUUAAAGUUAGAUGCUAAAACGUGAUAAAAAUAAAAUUUCAAUAUAUAGAUAAAAUUACAAAAAGAUACAUUAAUUAUUUUUAUAACAAGAAUGAAUUAAAUAUAUAGCAGAGAUGAGUUGAAGAGGUGAUUUUUGGACGAUCAAACCGAGCUAACCUAAUACGUCAUCUUCCUUAGCGAAGUGACUUUGUGAUGUACUCUUCCUAAUACACACAUUAGACGGGGCUUUUUUCCCCUGGAAUAACUUCGAUGAUUAAAUUUAGUUUUCCGGUAAAUGGGUAAUGGGAAUGGAAACAAUAGAGUUCUUACUUUCGUUCCCCCUUUUUCUGAAUGAGGAAGAGUGGUAUUUAUAGGGGACAAAUUGGAGGAAGGAAUAAUAGGCUCCAACUCCUUAGGACCUGGUAGGGACUGAGCGUGUCCAGUCUGAUUUGACAGAACGGAGUAAUAGACAGGUCCCAUCAGAUGUCUUGUCCGUCAUACAAGUGUCAGGUUCUCCGAUAAGACCUUGGAUGUCGUGUCAAGCACAGUACCAAUCCGAGGUACCAGUGGGUGUGGGAGUCACCUCGGUUACCCGCACGCGAAGUCAAGCCGAAGUAACCAAAAUUGGUGGUGACCCGUCCCAAAUAAUAAAGGAUCAAGCUCGGUAUGGCCAAGUCGGGAUGGCCAUCCUCAUGAGUCAUAUGGAAAAGGAACAAAAUUACUUCAGAGAAUUGAAUACAGUGUUGUGUUUGGAUUGAGGGAUUUGACGAAGAAUCUGAAAUCCUCUCAAACCCGUCUAAUUGUUUAGAUUAUUUACAAGGCAUUUAGAUUUGUAAGUCACCAAUUAUUUUAGUAUUUAAAAUAUAUUUAGAUUAUUGGCAAAUUAUAAUCCCAAAUGCUUCUUAAACAAUUGAAACAGCUAUAGCGACUUGGGUGAAUUUCAAAUCCUUUGACAAAUUCUUCAAUCCAAACUAAGCCGAAUUAUUCAUUUGCUAUCCUCUUCUUUAAAGAGUUCCUAAAUACAAAAAAGAGAACAACUAAAUUAUCUAUUUUUUUAUGUAAAUGUGAUACAAAGGUAUCUCAUGGACAAGUAUUACAAUUAGUUCUUUCAUUAACACUUCGUCUCUUCUUACAGAAAUAUAAUUCAUUUUGAAAGUAUUUUAAGUGAGAAACAACAUAAGUUUAAGAUUAGAAGGAUUUUUGCAUUCUCUUUUAACAAAUGGUGGACCCUGAAAAGUUAAUCGAAAAGCUAAUCAAGGACCAAACCAGUGGGGAAAAAUGAGGAUUGGUCAUGAUUAUCUGAGGGAUAAAUGUUUGAAACUUUUCAAAAGCAGUUUGUCGGAGGGAAAAGGAAGGUUGGGGGGGACGGAAGUUGUGAAAAACAUUAAAGAUUGUAGUCUCCUACUUCAAGAAACUGCUGCUAUUAAAGUAGGGUGCCGGUGGUUUAUUUUGCUCGACAACAUUUGGGACAUCAUUCUUUUAGGACCCAAACCCCAUUAUUUUAUUGCUCAGAUGAAACCACGUUGUAGAGAGAAAGCCAUUUUGCAUAAUCUCAUGAUCAAACCAUCCAACCACCAACAGACCCUUCAUUUUUUUUAGUGCACACGUCAUAUUUGGUGGUCAAGAAUUCAAAAUUUUGCAUUUCAUCUAAAAAACAGGCCACUCAAUAUGAAAAUCUAAAAUAUAGUAGUGUAUCAUACGUACUUCCUAAUUUUCCUUUUUCCUAGUUUAAUUAUAUGGUAGCUUUUGUCUAUACAGACCAUUGUAUUGUAUUGUAUUGGUGCAUGUCAUGUGUGGAAAUAUGACCGGGCAAUUUGAAAAUCCCGUACUUAGAGAUGUAAACGAACCGAAACGAAUCGAGUAUCUCAUGUUUGAGCUCUGUUCGUUAAGCGACUCGAACUCCGUUCGUAUUCGUUCGUUAAUUUUCGAACUCUAAACCUGUGUUCGUGUUCGGCUCGUUAAGUAAAGUUCGUGUUCGUGUUCGGCUCGUUUAACAUAAACGAGCCGUUCGCGAACACGCUCAAAAAGUUCGAAUCCAGACUAUUCUAGGCCUUAAAUAUGCCACACAAAUCAUUAAUCAUCCUAAAAAAUAAUUAAAAUACUAAAUGACUAAAUUCCAUUAUUCAAUAACUGCAUAACCAACAUUAACAUAAAAACAACAAAUAAAACAAAGUAAUUUGUCCUUCAAAUAUAAAAAUUCAGACAUAAGACAAGUACAAAUUUGUUCGCGAACACUCGUUAAAAUUCGCGAACAUGUUCGUGUUCGCUCGAUUAUUAAACGAACACAAAAAUUCGUUCGUGUUCGUUCGUUUAAGGCUUUCGAACGAGCCUUUAACGAACACGAACGAGGCGAAACGAACCGAACUAACGAACAGCUCGGUUCGUUUAACAGCUCUACCCGUACUAAACGACAUACGAAAAAAUUAUUGAAAGUAAAAUAUCAAGGAACAAUCAUACAUGCAUGGACUUAAUGGACAAAAAGAAUUAAGAUAAAUCCAAGAACAGGGACGAAGAUCCUCCUAAUCAUCCUAAUUAAUUAUAUACAUCAUGACAAAUUUUAACGACUGUUUGCUUUCCAUGAGAAUUCUGAGUCGUUGAAGGUUUAAGCAUCGGAAAAGGUGAUCGUGAUAUUACCACAAAGUGUUUAAUCAAACAAGAAUACUUUUUUAACAUUUGAACGCCUAGAAUAUUAUUUGUAAGUUUCUAGGCUAUUUCACUGCUUAAGAUCGAUUUUGGAUAAAAAAGGUGAUCAUCAAGCAAAAGAAAACGAACACAGGCGAUCGUCAAUUCGUUAGUAGAAGUUUCCACACGUUCACAUAGGCAAAGGCUUAAAGCGACCAACUGAAUACCAACGGUUCAUGCACACAUCAACUUAUUAGACAGCGGUCCGGCAAGCAUCAACUAUCAACUUAUGUGGUUGUUUCUUGAAAAGGACCUACUGAGUAAUUAACUUUUGAUUUUCUCAAUUGAACCCCUAAAGAAUUGAAUGUUGCUCCUUUCUAGUUCUAACCAGUCUUGCCUGCACCCAUAGUGGAAGGACUUCAUUAUGAACUAAUGUCAUUCUCCUCCUUUCUCUUCUGGGUGAUGAUCCAUCUAAUUUCAAUUCCUCGUAUUAUUAAUCGUUUGCAGCAACCCUAAAAGACGGCAAACUCGCAAUCAACUUCUUUCCAAAUUCACUCCAGUAAAAAUUGUAAACUCAUCUACUGAUGGAGUAGUAAUUAUCUGAGGAAAAAAAAAGAGUGGAGUAGUUAUCUCUGUGAUGAAAUGAAAUAAUCUAAAUAGUUGUAGGUGUUUCUUUUUCGAUUUCUUGUUGUUUUGUCAAAAAUAGUUGUUGUCACUUGAUAACUAAUUAUACGUGUUUAAUUGUCAAUCCAUUCAGUGAUAUAAACUUGAAAAUUUUUCGUGGUAUCAAAACUUGCUAAAUUUUUUGAAGAAACCUACCGCUCUAAGCAAUUAAUUAUAAACUAAAUCGAACGUCGUUCAAUCGGUUAACUCUCAUUUUCCAUUGUUUUCCUAGUCACAUCACAGCCACUUUUUCAAUACUUGAAGGACCAUAUUGCAACAACCCAAUGACGGUGAAGUGCUAAGAUGGGUGAAAACACCUGGUUUAGUUUCUUAUCGUACAAGUAUAUUGAAAAUGAGGACCUGAAUUGACAAUUUGAUAAAAUGGAACCCCCCCGGCUGGAAAUUAGGAGAAUGGGACUUUUGGAAGCUUGUCCUUUAGUGCGGACACGGAACACGAAACACGAGAGCGAGGACCAGGACACGGUUAUUGUCCGUUAUAAGCAGUUUGCCACGUUAGGGACACGUGCUUUUCAUACUUGUCGUCACCCCCACCUUGACCGUUGACCGUUUUAUCCGUACAGCGUUUUUGGUUUUUGGUGGUCCCGCGUUCUCGUUUUCUAUAGUGGUAGCAUUUUUUCUCCAAUCUUCCUUGGCCAACUUCUCUUCUGCCGACAAAUUUCUUUUAUUAUUCUUUUUAUUAUCUUAAACAUUAAGCCCAAGGUUUUUCACUCCCGUAAGUAGAAUUGAACGAUGAAUCAAAUUAUUCCAUACUCGGAUUCAGUUUGAUUUUGAUAAAAUCUCGUUCGAACUUAAUUAAUUCACCAACUAUCAAAUUCGAUAAAAUGUUCGUUUAAAUUUGAUUCGGUAAAUAAAUAAAUUUAAACUCAUUAAAAUAAUCAAACAAAUUUGAAUACUACUAGAGUGUUCGGCUUGAUUAGGGCCAUUUACAUCUCUACGUAAGAGAUACAAUUGUGUGUCAUAUUAAAUUUAUUUCUUUGAAAUAAAUAACAUAUUUCUGAUUGCUUCUGGAUGUAAAGUUCCGUUCUUUUCUUAAGCAAGUAAAGUUUGGUCCUUAAUUUAAUUUGUUCAACAAUAAUUAAUAGCAAACAUAACCGGGGAAGGAAUGAGUUGGUUUGGGGGAGGGACAGCAAGUGUGAAAUUUUGAAUUCGAGCUCUUUCAUUUAUGCAAAAAAAAAAAAAAAAAAAAAAAACCAUUUGAAUUGCAAACAUAACCAAUUUUUCAAAUUGAAGUCGGCAAAAGUUAGUGGCCCGGCCGGGAAAAGAGGUCCUUAUUAUAGAUUGGAAAAAAGAACGGACAGUCAAAAACUCCAAAAUGAUCCGUAGCCAAUAUGGUAACGUAUUUCUGUGUUGUUUUUGUCUCUAAAUUGUCGACGGCAGUUUAUGGGGUGACGUUAACAGUGUUACUUUCGGCUAUUUAGGAUAAUUGAUUCCUGGAAGAUUCUUCAAAUCCUUUUUUCUUUUUUUUUUUUGUUUCAAGAUUAGAUAGGUGGCAGGGGAAAUUUUGGAGCUAUUGAAGAUUUGAAUUCAAGGAUAGUCAAAGGGCAAUCGAACCAUUUGAACAACUCCAGCUUAAUAACCAAACUUCUUUAUCUCGUUUGCUUCAGAAGUCUUGAGAAAAUUCAUUCCAUUGAAUUUCUUUUUCUUUUUUUUUUUCCUCGCAUCCCUCCCCAAAUCCGUCCCAACCCCAACCGACAAGUUAGGAUUUGAACAUUGAACCUAGCAGCAGAAGAGAUCUUUAACAGUCCUCCCCUGACUAUUAAUUGGAAGUUCCAUUGAAGUUCAUGUGGAUGUUAGUUGUUGUAGAAUUAAUUAGCCGUAAAGAAUGGGAUUUCAAGAAUAUAGUAGGAUGAAAAUUACAACCAAAGGAUAUGGUCACUUUGAUAGUCCUGUUUUUUUUUUUUUUUCCACACAGUUUAAGAAAAAAUAGUUAAUUUUGUUGAAAAAGUAAAUUUAGAUUGCUAUUUUCCUAAAAUACCCUCACAUUAAAUAUGGUACAACUUUAUGGAAACUUGAAUUGAUGGUAAAAAAAGAAUCAACUCUCAUUAAAUGGGGGUAGGUUUAUAGUAACAACUACUUACAUUGAAUAAGGGUAUUUUAGGAAAAUUAAAAUACAACUACAUUCUUCAAUUGGAAAGUGGACUACAAUUUGGGACAAAUGAAAAAAAGAAUACAGGACUAUCAAAGUGGGACGGAGGGAGCAAUUUUUUUUUAUUCUAAAUAUAUAUUUUCUAUUAUUUGCUUUUUCCUAAAAUAUGCACGCACCCACAUUACAAUAUUACAUUACAUUACACACAGUGAUUGCCCCACCCACUAGUUGCAAGAAGGUGUCAGGGUAAUGUUUACACCAAAAUAAUUGCAUACACACAAGUGCUUUAUUAUUGUAGAGACAUAUGCAUGUGUGCGCGUGUGGCGCCAUGGCAGCAGAAGUAUGUAUAGAUGCAGUAAUAAAAGACUUGCCCUGACAGAAGUGAUGCAUAUAACCCUAAUUUUUAUGCUUGCAUGGCAGAACUGAAUAUUUACUUCAAACAAUAUUCGUCGUUUCAGUUUUUUUUUUUUUUUUUUUUUUUAAAUGAAAAAUCAGCAGGUCGACUGUGGAGUGGCGACUGCUCCCACAUUUUUCCAAAUCCUUGUACUGUUAAACGUCGUGCAAGGAGCUCAACUUGGAUUCUAUACAUGAAAAGAGAAUGCACGUGGCAGGGUAAAACAAAAUAGAAUAAAGACAUUAAACCCAACAAAAACAAAAGUCCCCCAGUCACGAGCACCGUGAUUAUUUGCAUCGGACAAAAAAAAGUAGUGUAUCUUAUCUAUCUGAUUGUAUUUCCAGGACCUGAAAGAAGAUUGCUUAGUCAAAAUCCACAUAUACAUACAUAUAUAUAUAUAAAUGAAUGGGUGAUGGAUGAAAGUUCAAUGUACCAGAAUCUAGCUACGUACAAUCUCGUAGAAAAAUUUCAAUCUUCUUGACCUUGUCAUAGCUAGAAAAGUUUGAAUCUUCUUGAAAUGCCCUUCUUUUAUGACUUGUCGAAUAAGAGCAGUCAUGUAGGAUAGAUGGCAAGAAGCAACAUGACUAAAUUGACUAGCAAUAGUGUAUGCGUCCUCAAUUCCAUCUGAUGGAACAUACAUAUUAUCAACAAAAAAAAAAAACGUCUGAUUUUUUCUUCAUCAAGUGAUUUCUUGAGCUGUGCGCUACGAUGGAUUGGAAUUUCAGAAAGCAUCAUCGUUUGCCUCAAGGUUGUCGGAAAAAAAUAUUUCUUAACUUAAGCUAGCUAGCUACACUUGGCGUAAUAAGAAUGCAAAUUAGGCAGAUGAUGAUAUCUAAUGAGAAAUCGUAUUGUCAAGAAAUGGGAAUAGGUUUCAAUUACUUAAACAAUUCAGGCAUGACGUGCCAAGAUCCUAACAUCAUCAACUCGAGUUGAGGGGUGGUCCAAUCAACUCAACUGGGACUGACUGAUACCUAUUUAAUUUGUGCGAUUUUUCAACUUCCCUCUUGAGGGUCUAACAUGAAUAAUCCGAAGACCAAGUCUUGGGGUGGUCCUGAGCAAACUCAGAGUGCUCUAUUAGAGGUUCACCACAUGGAGUGAAAAAGUACGUUAGAUUGGUUGGAUUGUCUUCUUUUUUUUUUUUCUCUACAAAAGUUUUAGGUUUUUUCGUGAACAUAUAUUCCAAUUAUCUUUGCAUCUCACAUAUAUCACAUCAUUACAGCAUAUUUUUCUACAAAAAAAAUAACAAUCCGAGCGAGAAAGUUUUUUAGAAAGGAGAAGUCAUGCAUAGCCUGAAACUGUCCAUUUUUAAUCUUUUGUGCAGUAUAUAUAUAUAUAUAUAUAUCAACGUAAACAUUUUUUUUACGCUAACAGAUAUAGAUGCAUACCACUUUGCGUAACGAGUGUAUUUCAAAACUUAAAUAACGAUAAUAUGACAUGUAUUAAAACCCGCUAGUAUAGUGAAAUUCUUAAACUCACAGUAUAAAAAAGUUUGAUCCUUUUAUAUAUAUAUGUGUAGAUUAUGUCAAGAAUAAAUACAAGCAUAUGCUCUUAUUUACAGCAGAAAUUCAGACACUUACAAGAUUUUUAUUAAAAGGAAGUGAGCUGGUUAGAGCUGAUUACCCCAAAAUUUCUCGUUGGGAUCUUGGGGCUGUCAUUAUUUUAUUCAUGAAAGGACCAAUAGUCGACUGUACUAACAUGGAAAAGUAUAUCUGCAUAACCACGUUACUACUACUUCGACAACAAGAUUAACGGUGAUUCUAGAAGUGCAUGAGCGGAGGCUUUUUCUCGGUGUUUGGGUUUUGGAAGGGAGGGAAAAAAAAAAAAAGAAGACCAACUCAAAAACUCUCUUUGUUGAAUAUUUUUUCUAGGGAUGAAAAGGAAAAGAAUCUACUCGCGAUCCAAGACAUUGACUGAUCACUGAUCAGUAACAUGCAAGAUCCUUCUUCCAAUGCUGGAGCAUGCAUAAUCAGUCCCGUAAUUCGUGAAUAUCAAUCUGAAUCUCCGUGGUGCUCGGCUCGAAGAUUUUCAGAAAACAAGUUUUCAGCGACUUUUUACUGAGCAGCUUUCCCACAUUUAUUGGUAGAAUAAGCAAAACAUAUGGAAAAGAUAUUUAGAAACCAAGUGAAAGUUGUUGGGUUAAUGGGGAAAAAAUGAAAAAAAAAAAAAGCAUUAUUGCAAGCAAAAGGCUCGAGGUCGAAGGAGCUGCUAGCACUACUGCAAUUCAAAGCAUACUAGUACAGAUCUCAGGGUACCAUCCUUGUCAGAUCAAUAACUCAAAAUUCAAGAAAAUAAAAGUUGAACUCAAAUCUUGUAUAUUUCACAUGGACGAUGACGGGAAAACACUAGUGUCGUGUGUACAUUAGUUUAUCAGAAUUUAGCAAGCCUUUCUUCUUAUCUGUUUUAAACCACCGGGAUAAAUUGAUGUUCUCCACUUUCCUUCAAGUUAUCUUUUCUUACUUUCAACGAUUGGAGUUUUAUGCUGUAGGGAGACUUUUGUCUAGUAAUUAACGUUGGGAGUUCGAAAAUUAGAGUCUUGAGCUCAAGCCCGUUUCUCCCUCUCCAAUUCUAAAAUCCCACGAUCCCCUACUUUAUAAAGCAAAAAAAAAAAAAAUAUUGGAGUCAUAUGCCACUAGCUUAUAUGUCAAGAUACAUCAUAGUCGUUGGCCAAAAGUGGCAGUGGCUAGCAGUACUUAUUUAAAAGAUUCAAAAGAAAAGGAAGGAUUUGUCAUUGGUCCUGCUUUUCUUGCAUGUGAGCGGCUAUGGGAUGGUCAUGUUCCGCUGCUUCCGCACAGGCUGAUUUCUUGAGCAGCAGGAGGUCACGGACAGACACCUGUUGACAAAUGAUAAACGAUCAUGAUCCCCUGCAAUCCAAAGCAAAGCAAAGCAAAAAAUAAAAAAGUGCACGUACGUUGAUUUUUCUGAAAAGUAAAAGAGCUUUUUUUUUUAGCGGUUUUGGUAGUUAAUAACCACCGAAUCUGGUGCCCACAUGGUAGGAGCAACUUUACCCCCCGCAAGCUCCUCUUUACUUUCACUAGCUCACUACUUCUGCAGCUAAAUAGGAGGGGGAAUUGAUCGAGUCUUCGACUGAUUAAUUAAACCGACCACUGGAUUGAGGUGGCAUUGCCUGAGCAAUGGUCUGCUCUUUUCUUUACUUUAUCAAGG
rnacentral:lncRNA from 1 species